UUUUUUCGUAAUUUACCCUAAAUGGUAAUAUCCAAUAAAAAUAAAAUCGAAGAUUUUUAUUGGAAAGAAUAUGUGUGGACAACAAAUAGACAGCAGGGAGUAAGAAGUCUUUUCGCAACAAUGAGAAAUAAUAAAGACAAUCGCAAUCGUGGGGGCGAGGCUGUGCAAAUGCACACCCAACUAAUUGUCUCUCUAAAUGUGUGUCUAAUUGAUACACUCCUUAAGUAAUAUAAUUAAUUAAUUAAUUUUUUUAAUAUUUCUGAAUUAAUACUAUUUAAGGAAAUUUAUUUAAUCAUUUUCGUUGGCUUUCACAAUCAGACUAGUACAUUGGUUCUGCCGCUGACCUUAAUUCCUGUUAACUGAAAAUGAGGUGCGUAAUUGUCACCUCAACAACAAUCUAAUCUUUGUUAGUAGUACUAUUAUCUAUCAAUAAUGAUAUUUGUAUCGUUUGUCUCAAAUCUUUUAACAAAACUGACACGUGGACGGUGGAGAUUCAACUAUAAAAAGAAACAUUAUUAAUUCAUUAGCUAUUUGCAAAUUAUUCAUCCAGAGAAAAAUACAACAUGGAUGACAUUUCUCCAUCUCUACAAAUAUUGAUGAUUUAAGUUGUAAAUGCCACCAUGAUUUGGUGAGGCAGUUGGCAUUAUUGGUAUAAUAUAUUAAUAAAAUAUUAUUAUUAUUAUUAUUAUUAUUAUUAUUAUUAUUAUUAUUAUCUGAUGUGAUUUGUAGUCAAUUAAUCACCUCAGAAACUAUAGUGUAUCUUGCUUAUAUAGAUAUAUUGAUAUUACAAUACUACCAAUAUUUAUCAUUUAAAAAAUAGUUCAAAACAAGAAGAAAAAUAAAGAAAAGCAAGAACCACAAUAAUGGGACUGGUCCCCAAACAAUAAUCAGAAAAAUCUAUUAUUUUUAUAAUUUUUUAAAUCGCUGGAAUUCAUUGAAUUUUCUAAAAAAUCUAGAUUUGAGUAAACGCAAGUUUCGUUUGCACAGAAUCAAUGCAAGUUUUGUUCGACGUAUUUCUUACCUAAUAUCAAGUCUUUGCAUUCGGAUCAAGUUUCCUGCAUGAGGCUCUAACUGAACAACGAUUCAGCAAGCAGAAGAAUGUUAGAUUAAUUGACAAAAUGACCGUAAUCUAACCAAAAUCUCAUGAUUACAAAACUGUCGUUUUUUCUAAGUCGAACUCUCGGUUUUUCAGAAUCUCUCUUAAGAAAAAGGGAAGUUUUCUGCUACAACAGUGAGUGAGGUAGGUACUUCCGGACUAAUUUCUUCCAAAUAAAUAAACCUCGAAGUCCCUAAAUUUUAAUACACAAAACAUCACCUCCAUUACAUGCUUCUGCUUACGGUCAACUGUUUGAGUGUGCACAUCUACUUCUUCUUCUUUGAUUUGUUGGACUGAGAUUGAGUAUAAGCAGUUCCCUGAACAUAUUAAUAAAUAUAAGCCAUUAUUCCAUCUUGCUAGCGUCAAUAUAAAACAAAAUAAAACAAAACCAGAAGUCAAAAAUAAAAAUCGAAAAUAUAAAGAAUGUGAAUGCAGUCAUACAAACCUGCAACCACUCGUCCAUUGAGGCAUCAGUUGUCCCGGUUCCAACUUCCACCUUUGGUGCCCUCUUGGUUUUCUGAUUAUCAAAACCGAGAGAAAAAAAAGGUGAAUAAAUUUUUCAUAAAUAAAUGCAUUUGCUAAAUACAUCAAGUGAACGUCAAAAAGUAAGAUCCUUUGUCCAAUUUUCGAGCCAUAUAUAUAUUACUAAAUUGCAAAUCACAAAAGUGAAAAGUUGAACUGGUAAUGUUUUCAACUAACACUCGUUACUUACCCCCCCCCUUUUUACCUAACAACAAUCAAUCAUCAAUUAAGCAUUUUUUGACUAACAUAUCUGAGUUUAUACAAGUGUAUUAGCAUUAGAGAUACCAAUUGCAGAUUUACUUCUAUCAUGAAUGUAAUAAUGGCUUAAAGCAAUUGCAAAAACAAAUAGAGACAAUUGCAGGAAAUUUUUUGCACAUAUUCUAAAGGCUACGGCAUGCCAGAAUUUAGUGGCCAGCAAACAAUACCAUUUGCUAGCUCUUAGUUAUUGCUAUUUUUUUAUAUUUCCUGAACUUUCUAUAGCACGUACAUUGUUCGAUGCUUUCUGAAACCUUUCGUAGCAUAAUUAAGAAUUAGUACAAGCGAAAAAGAAAAAAAGAAAAUUAAGAUUACCUUGGAAAAUUGUUGAAUUUGGUUACGUAUCCAAAAUCCAAGAAGACCAAGAAGAGCUAUUCCAAGGCAAAACAAGAAUACUGACUCAACACUGAACAUGCCGCCUGACUCAGUAACUUCAAUUGUCCCGUUGUAGAAGGUACUCUGGUAUGGGUGUUGGUCAAUCUCAUAAACGAUAGUUCCCACAAGAUCAUAUGCACCAGCCUGUAAGAUGAAUCAAAUAAAUAAAUAGCAGCGGAAUGAGCCACUAGAUGUAAUAGAAAAUAUGAAGGAAAACUUAAAACAUUUUCUACAACUUACCUGCAAAAACUUGCUAACGCCAAAUAUAUAAGGGAAAGAAGCUUGAGAUGACGGGGGAACUGAUGCAUUCUUAAAAGCCUAAAAGAAACAAAAUAUUCACAUUACGAACAAAAGCCUACAAGAAAUCAUAUUAAGCAAGAAAAAAACAAAGGCAGUUCCUGAUCCAUAAUUUGAAGAUACAUGUUAUGUCUGAUGGAAUUAUGUAAAACUGGAAAACAUUAAAUAGCUCAACCAACUCAAACAAGGCGCUAACUCAAACGAGGAAUAUGGAAUACCAAUAAGCGGGAUAACUAUGAUAAACCAGGAUGACAUGUUAACAUAUGGUAAUGGUCAAACAUUUUGUGUUUGUAUGUUUAUAAGCCAGAAACCAAAGAUAAAAUGUUUUUCAUUUAUAAUUUUCGUACAUCACAAGACUUACAAAGAUAUGUCCUGAUGGGACAGAAAACAAUUUCUAGCAGCAUAGGCUGACAACAUAAACAUAGUCCAUUGACUUCACCAGCAUAACUAGGAUGAGAUUUUUUUACGGACACAGAUUAACUGCACAUAAAGUAAAGAUGUGAUACCUGGGUAGAAAGAUUCUGAAGCAAGUAGUGGUAAUUAUAAGGAAGAUGAACGCUAGCCUGGAUGGCAAUGACAUUAAUAACUGAUUGCCCUGUGAUUAUAUCAAAAACACGAUAAGUAACAAUUAGCUCUGCAAAUAGUUAACAGUUGCACCUACAUGAAAACCAAUAUUAGAUGAAGGGAGUAAAAGCCAAAAAUAACAGCUAAAUAAAUAAAGGCUAGAGGGUAUGACACGACAGACAAAAUUCAGAAGCAAGUGACAGAAUAAGAAACAAAACUUCAUUAAAUGAAAUGAUUAGAAAACACUUGAGCACAACAAUUCAACAAAGCAUUACCGUCAUUUUUAAUUCCAACGAGAAGUUCACUUUCUUCACCAGCCACUACAUCUGCAAAAUGACAGGACUAAGUUAGAGACACAAUUCAAAGGACAAUAGAGAGAAACAAGAAUACACCAGUUGGCAAUAAAGAUAUCAGUCAAUGAUUUUUUUCUUCCUAUUAUCUUAUUUGUUUUUCGGGGUGGGGGCGGUAGAAAGUACAAAAACAAUCACUAACUUUUCGAGGGGUUUUUGGGAAAAAGACAAACUGUUUCCACUUCUGGAGCUGGACUGAAAUUCCCACUGCUAAAAUCUUGGACAUCAUCACCAACAAUCCCGAGAUCCGCUCCUUCAUCAGCUGACUCAACAAUAUCUGCGUCAGGGUCCGGCUCACAUCUUGCAACUACCAAGCAAAAUAGUGUAGUUAAGAUACUGUUGAGUGUAUGUAGUUGUGCUCAAGUAUAAUUUGUAUGGAUCAUAGAAACCUUAAAAAUUAGUUCGAGGAUCCAAGUAAAUUAGAAAACAGGAUUUAAUCUAAAACAUGAAAUUAGUACAGACUACAUAAGUGGAUAAAGGGGAAACUGAAUUAUAAGGACUGGUGAGGAACACAAAAUCGGCAAACUGUUUCUUCAAACAAAUGAAAUAAAAAGCUUAAAUCAACCCCUUCAAAUCUGGAUUCAGUGAGAUUUUCGAAAUAGUGAAGUCCAUUUCACAUCGGAAUGCAGACUCAAUUUUAACAGAGUAUCCCUCAAAUAGGACAGCUCUCACUCAUUAUUUAUACCGACUCCCAGGCACUAAGGCAAACAAUUGAAAAGGGAAUGCAUUCAGAAUACUCGAUCAUUAAAAGCUUUAUCAACUCCAUAACUAACACAAUCUCAAAUCUCAACACAUAAAUACUAAAAAUCAAUAUAUAAAUAAAUAAACGCCAAUUAAACGAUAUAAAUCAGCAAAAAACAUGAAAAUGAGUCUCGAUCUGAUUUUAACGGCGCUACAGGCAAAACCAAAUGCAGAUGAAACACUAAACCCUAGAAAAAUUCACGCUGCAAUUCGAAAUUAUCCGUGCAUGUACAUGCACAGAGACAUGGAUGCUUAAUUACAACUGUAACUUAAAAAAAAACACACAGUUUUCCCCAAAAAAGAAAAAAAAGAGCAGAAAUCAAAAGUGGAGAAAUCUGAAUAGAAUAAGGAUCUGGAUCUGAGAUGCAUACCUUGAAGAAUUGAUGAAGAGAGAAGGAGCAGGGAGAGGGCGAGGAUGAGAAAACCCCUAAUUGACAUUUCGCUUCUUUAUUAUUGCUUAGAACAAAACAGAGUGUUGUGAGAAUGGGGAAUUGUGUGCGUGAGGAACGAGAAACAAGGAAAACCUUUUUAACGCGUGGACCGGAGAGGGUCAAAACGGGUAAAAAUUAUUUCAUGGGCCACAAGUUGAAAUAUCCAGUUUCAUGUGGCCAAAAUGCAAAUAUUUCAUAUCUCAGUACGCGCGAUCGUUGACCUAGUCGACGGAGUUUAGCCACUUCAUUUGGACCUUUGGUUAUGUUGUCAAUAAAAUUAAAACUUAAUAAAAUUAUAUUUCUAUAUUAUUCUUGAGAUUACGUUUAACAACAAUUAAACUUUAUUUAGUUUGAAAUUAGAGUUUUAAUUAAGGUUAAAAUCCAAGUCAAAAUCAAUUAAAAAUAUUUUUAAUAAGUAACUGCGAUUAGUUUUUUUUUUCGUUUGAAAAUUGACAGAAAUCACUCCAGUUUAAUUGAGGGUAGAAAUGAAAGUCAAUACCAAUUAAUGACAUUUUGCCAUUUUUAUCAGCUACUAAAACAAAUCUUUUAGAUAAAUUACACAAAGCCCCCACUAGUUUAGGUGUAAUUAUAUUUAGAUCCUCAAGUUUAAAAAUUUACCAAAAAAAAAACCUUACUUCGAACAGAAAAAAAGAAGAAAAAAAAAAGAGUUGGGUUCAACAGUUAGUUCUGAUACCAAGUGUUGUGACACCAAUAGUAGAAUAAAAGUUCCUUGAAUUUAGACAUAAAACUAGAUUUGUUCUAACUGCUGAAAGAUCAACAGCUAAAGACCAAAGGAAACUAGCACUGAAUUAAAUCAAUCCCCAUGGAUAGUGUAUCGCUCCCAUUUCUUUGUCGGAUCGUAUAUCUGCACAAUGAAGAUACCAGGAUUUACAAUCAAACGGAAGAAGGUAAAAAAAAAAAAAAACUCGUAUAAGGUUACCGAGUAUAGUGAAAAAAACUAGAGAGAGAGAGAGAGGGGCGUAGGUUUACCUCCCAUCUUGAAGCUGGAAAUAUAUGCUUGUUCUUCUCAUACCAAUGUCUCUCAACAACUUUACCAGCAUGCGACUGUUGACAAAGUAUGCUAGAUUACUUCAGUGUGUGGAUGAUAAUGUCUAUCCAACUUCCACAGAAAUCACAAUAGUCGUGCAGAUAGAUAAAUGCAUUAUAAUUGAUAUAUUCAAUUAGCUAGUAUGGCAUAUAUAUGUCAACCCCAAUACAGAGCACGAACAAUACAUACACAUACAUACAUAAGCCCCUCAAGAAUAUUCAUAAAAGAUGAAAAGGAAUGGAACUUAUGCAGUUAUUAAAAUAAUUCACAAUUUUAAAUUUAUGGAGGGAGUCCAAAAACAAACACUUGCAUCACUAUAUAUUAAAUUGAAUACUGGAAAUAAAUUCUGCUAUAUAAACCAAAUAUGCAAAUACGGGACUCAAAAUGUAGCUCCUCCAUAUUACUUCUUGAGACCAUAAAAGUGACAAAACAUGAGACUGAUUUCCCAUUACAAGUGGAACUAAUGUUAUGUCAAGAAACCUUACCUCAUCUUUCUCUUUUGUCGCGUCAGCAAUAGUCCGAACAUCCUCAUGUACGUCAAAAUGGAAAAGCUGUAACAAACCCAACAGUUUAAAACACAUGCACCAAAAAUUUCGUUCAACAUUACAUGUUAAGAGGCUACUAGAAGAAUUUAUUAUAUUAUUAGACAGUAGGGCCAAGAAAAUAAUGAAGAAUGGGCCAGGAUUCGCCUCAAGAACUCUGAAAUAGAGGAAUCUGGCCAAUAUCAUGUUAUAUCAACUGACUCUCAGCUGAAACGUAAAUUUAUGACAUUAUACUGAAUUUCUUCGCUCAAAAUGCAAGAGUGUUGUACGUCUCAAUUUAACCUUUUCCAUUAGCAACAACAAGUACAUAAAUGAGGCAUCCCGAGAAUUUCUAUUGAAAGAAUUUCAGUAUAACUUCAGCACCAAGUGCUGAGGAUUGCAAAUCAACCCCUUUUUCCACAUCCAUUUUGACAUCAAGAAAGGAAUAAAUUCCAAGCUAAAGUUUACAAUCAUAAUUGAUGAUCAAAUCCUCUCAUAAAUCUAUUUUUCUUGAAGUUGUUCAGUAGAGUAAUGGUCUGAAGGAAAUUUUAUGUGGCCGACGACUUAUGGUGUAUCAUUAGAACUAGUUUUUAAUGAUGAUAAUAAAAAUCACACAAAUUUGAAUUAAGCAAUCUAUUCACGAAAAUAUAGUUAGCUCAUAAUACUUCAAAUGCGCAAAUGUUUAGAGACUGAAAAUCAAGACAUUACCGGUCCACUUUUGCCUCUAGCCUUGUUCACAAUCAGCUCAUAGAAACUGUGUUGCUGUAACAUGAAGAGGAAUUUUAACACGUUUUUGCAAUUUAUAAAUUGGGACAAGAUGAGAAAAGUGUAUGAACGAAGGUCUUACAUGUGGAAUGAUGAGAUCUUCUUUCACAUAAAGCAAGUUCUCAACUGAAGUAGUCCGAACUUCUCGGAACUCAGGAGAAAGCUGCUGCUGAACAGCACGAAGAAACUCCCCUAUUGUAUCACCUUUCCGAACCUGAUAGGUUAAACGAUACACUUAAUGAGUUUCAACAAAUCCCUUUAAAAUAAACAAAUAUGAAAUCAGAAACAUAAUAGGUCGUUGAAUAAGACGAAUAUGAGGUAAUCAUAAACCUGAGUCACUCGUCGAUGGCCAGUACCAUCCCAAUAACUGUAAGUGAUUUGAAGAGGCUCGUCUAAAAGAUACAAAAAAGGGCAUUGAAAUCAGAAAAAAGUUGCUUAAUAUGAAAUUUUAUACUCAUUAGUGCACGUUAGAUUUCAAGACUAACUUUUGAUCUGUGCCUGCUCAAGAAGCCACUGUUUGCGCAAACGUUCACGCUCAGCCUGUUCCUCUGCCUCCCUCUCACUGUAAGAGUGUGCUUCAAACUCCAAAGAUCAAGGAUGAGUAAAAAGUUGAAAUUCAUGGGCAAGUGAUUUAAUAGAAAAGAACGAAUACGCAACAACCAUGUGUGAAUAUUUAAACUGGUACAGAUCUAAAAGGGUAAGAAGUGAAAGGAAUACAAGGGUAAAAAAGAAAUGGAUAGAUUACCCACCUAUCGGGCAAAAAGCUGGUUUCGACUGUAGGGUCUUUUCCAAGUUUUCCGAAUUUUCGGCGGCCAUGGCCUUCAGAGUCUUCAUCUUAAGACACAUAAGACAAGAAAAUGCAUCAGUGAGGAUUGUUAAAAAUCAUGUGCUUAUUCGAUCAACUUUUCAACGAAACGGUAACUGAAACUCGAUACUAGUUACAAUAAACAAAAUUUGUAUCACAUUAGACAGUUCAGACUGAGGUGAUAAAGAACAUAUAUAGAAAUCAAGUCUGGCCAAAUAAAUGAUAUCCACCUAAGUAAAUGAUUUCCUUUCAAAAGCAAACUAUCCUUUAGUGAAUGACCCUAAGCAAAAAUAAUAUAAAAAUAAUAAUAGAGACAUGCAAAAAGAAACUAAGUCGUGGAAAAUGCGAAAUUUGUUUCUUAAAAAAUUAAAAGGAUCAGCUCUGGAAUGCCAAAAGAUAUAAUGGAGUAUUGAAAUAUCAAAGAGGUAUCUCCUAGAAUAAUAAGAAGGGUAAUCGAAUCAGGCGGAGAUGCAAAUCCAUAUAUUUAAAGAUUUGUACAACAAAUACUAACUAACCACAUCAAUAACUAGUGCUGAAAGUACGAACAAAGAUGCUUACUAUUUUCCUCGUCUUCCUCCUCAUCGAAGCUCUCAAAAUCAUCAGCAAAAGAUAGUCGGGGGUCCGCCUUGAUUUUCCGCUUCUUCAAUUUCUGCAACUGAAGCUCCUCCUCCCUUCAAGAAAGAUAAAAAAGAUAUUAAAAAAACAUGAAAUAAAUAACAAGAUUAUUGCAAAUAAUAUUGGCAACUCACUCUUGCUGCAACUUUAGGAGCUUCUCCUUCUCUUCCUCUUCAAAUUUGUUCUUAAUAUUCACUCUCUGCAACACAAAAAGUACGUAUUGAACCACCGAAAAAUCCAGGUAAAAGGGAGGGGCAAAAAAAAAAAAACCAAAAGAAGAACUACUCAAAGUACCUUCUCAACAUAUUGUUCUCUAGUCACUAGACCAACGGUUUCUUUCUUGAAUGCAGUCUCGAGAAUCUGAGCAAUAAACACAAAUAGUUCAAAAUCAAUAAACCAGUAACUAUAAGGUACUAACAUCAUCGGUAUUGUUUCUAGUAAUUAAAAAAACAAAAACAGAAAUGCAAGGACUACUCCUCCCUCGUUUCAAUUGAAAUAUGUGGGGGCAACUUCAAAUUGUGUAUUAAUUGGUGAUAUCAAGUUAAAUAAUGAAGUACAUCAUAUACAUACGACCUAAUCGAACAAUGUGAUAUCUAGCUAAGAAAUUAUGCACUUAUGUAGCUCGAAAGGGAAAAUGAGAUGGAUACCUCGGAGGUGCUGGAACCGAAUUGAAGGAGACCAGGUUGGCCUUGUGAAGAGGCGGUUUUGUUCUUGAGCUCUUGGAUUUUGCGGCGCUCGGCUUCUCUCUGCUUCUCCAGCCGUCGGAUUCGAACGGCGUCCUGCGCCGUGCCCACGUAACCGUCGCCCAUACCCGCCAUGAUUGGAUUGAUCCUCGACGAACUAGGGUUUGGAUUCGCCGGUUAUUUUAGGGAAAUUGAAAUUGAAAUUGAAAUUGGGGGUUAGUGCCUCGAUGAGGUCGUGUUUUAAUUGGAAUGUUCUUCAACCGCGACUAUAGCGUACUUUUUCUUUUCUUUUUUAAUUAUUUGGGCUUGUGAAGAAGGGAAAUUGGGCCGGGCCGGCCCAUUUUGGGCCAACCAAAAAUUCCAACAACUCAUCUACAUACAAAUAGAGUAGGGUUGCAGACAAAUAUAAAUAAAUAUAUAAGCUUCUUUUUGGGCCUUCAUUUUUAUUUUAAUGAAGUGGGCUGAACUAUGGGCCUUUUGGGUCAAUAAACUCCAUCAAAAACUAUUUUCCUUUAUUAUUAUUAUUAUUAAAUUCUAAUUUUUAUUUUUUCCUUUUAUUAUCGAGAAAAAAAAAAUAUAAACCGGGGGCGGUGGUAGUCACGCACCACCAAAUCGCGUGGUGCAACGUGGUAGGUGGAGGCGAUUUAGCAAUAAAAAACGACGCCACAUAUUAGAGAGAUGUUUCUCUGACCCCUGGUAUUCAGAUAGAGAGAUAACACUGAGUGAACUCAGAGUUACAGUACCAACAAUCCCCCCACCAAUGGCCGUAGUAUCCACCUCACUCAGCGGCGCCACCGCCGUCACCGGCCAGUUGACUCAGUUCUCCGGCCUCCGCAAAUCUUUCCUCAAGCUCGACAACUCCAAUCACAACUCGACUCAGUCGCUUUUCCAAAAUGUCGACUCGCAUCUCCGCCUCGCUUCCUCUAAUAAAGGCUGCCGCGGCGUCGUUGCCAUGGCGGGAUCCGGCAAGGCGAGUCCCAAUUUUUUUUUUUUUGUUGCCUUUUUUUUUUUUUAAUUCUGGUUUAGUUAUUGGUUUAUUACGUGCAUUUCAGAUCUGAAAAUAAAAAAUAUAUAUAUAAUUGCACUUAGGGCUAGCUUUUGAAAUAAAAUUUAUUUUGAGGAAUUAAUCGAUAUCAUAAGAAAGAUGUUUAUGUUCAUGUAUAAAUGAUCGAUCAGUACCAGUGAAUACUAUAGAUUACAAAGAUCAACAAUACUGGUGCAUUUUUUUUUUUUUUUAUUUUGCCUUUUGUUAUUUGAGUUAUGUGUAGACUGCAAUGCUUCCAAUUCAUUUCUCAUGUCUACUCUGAAAGUAUUCCCAGCCCAAAUUCUCUCUUAUGCUUUGAAUUUAAAAAUUUCAUGUAAAUUCCUUGUUCAAAGUAAUGAUUUUUGUUUCCCUUUUGCUUGCAGUUCUUCGUUGGUGGAAACUGGAAAUGCGUAAGUAUUACUUUUCACCAUUCGCCAACUUUCAUUUUUGUUGCUUUUGCUUUGUCAUGGACUCAUGGUCAAUUAUUUGUAGCUUCCUUUUACUUUAAGUGAGAUGUUGAUUUGCGUAUUAGAAGUUCUAUGAUAAGGUGACAAGUGAUAGACAAUGAAUCGAUCUUCUAUUUAUAGCGAGUCUGGCAAGUUAUCGAAUCAAUAGAUGUACUGAAUUUAUUUAGGGAAGAGGAUACAUAGAGGAUACUGAAAGGACCUAAGAGCACAACAUACAAAAAAUCCAAAAUUUAAUGAAUGCUGAAAGUUAACACUUGACAGGAGAAACAAAAGGAUUAUAGUGUAAUGUAAUGUAUAAUUGUGUCUGACCCAUUACAGGAAGGCAGUCCAUCAUAUGCCAUUUAUAACUUGCUUCUGAGUAGCAUAUAUUAUAAUGUUUAUCCAAGAUUCUUCAUGUUCAGCUUCACACGGGCUAUAACUUGUGCUUAUUUGACUGUUCUUAUUAUGAAUUCUUCUUUUAGAUUUUUUCUCCUCAUGUCAGAAAUAAGCCAUAUUUUUAUGUUGAUUUGUCUUGAGUUGAAGAACUGAAAUCUACCAAAGUUACAAGGGGCCAUCCAAAUCCUAGUAUUUUAAGACCUAUCAACGUGAUUUGUUGUUCAUUUGUUCUCCUGUUGGUCUGAAGAUACAUGUUUAAAGCAUUAUUGUUUCUAUCUUCUGAUUACACUUUUCCUUCCUGGCUUGUGUUGUUCGAAUUGACUCAGAAUGGGACGAAAGACUCCAUAAGCAAGCUUGUUACCGAAUUGAACAGUGCUGCAUUGGAAUCUGAUGUUGGUGAGUUCUUAUGUACUAUCAAUACUUGGUGUUCAUUUCAUUUGGAUAAACUAAAGCUUGUAAGUUGUACUUAUUUUUGGUGGGUAUCUCUAAUUUGUGGUUAUGAUUUUGUUGGCUAAUAUAUCUACGUUACCUCAAUCAUUGCAGAUGUUGUUGUAGCUCCUCCUUUUGUUUACAUUGAUCAAGUAAAGAGCUCGUUAUCUGAUAGGAUCGAAAUAGCUGCCCAGAAUUGUUGGGUUGGAAAAGGUGGAGCUUUUACUGGAGAAAUUAGGUGUGUGAUUUCUGUACAUGUUGAUGCAAUCUCUACUCCACGACUUUGUUCCUUAAUUGGUACUCUGUUUGUGACAUGAAAUAUAAUUUACUUUAUCUUCUAACUUUUUUCCUGAAAAACUGUGUUUUGUGAUUUCAUUGCCCUUGGAUGGGUUAUCUCCUAUAGCAUUUGCUCUGUUUUCUUCUAUUGGCCUUAGAAAGGGCACUUGGUCUUUCCAAUUUGGAAAUGGUUAUUUUUUUUUUUUUGCAACAACCAUCUUAUUUGGUGGUGUACAAUUAAAUGGACACUUAAUUUCGUUCGAUUGCAUACUGUUUAAUUGCUUAUGUUGCCUUCUUCCUUCACACCUGAUCUGGUAUUUUCGUUGAAACAUUUGAGACUUCAUUGUGCUUGAUUCAUGUGUAGUAAUAAUAACACAAGUAAUCCUUUUAUUCACUGCAGUGUGGAACAAAUUCAAGACCUUGGAUGCAAGUGGGUUGUUCUUGGGCACUCUGAGCGAAGACAUGUAAUUGGAGAAGACGAUCAAGUAAGAGCAAUUGAAAGAUGUUUUCAUCUCUUUACAUAUAAUUUAGGAAAAUAAUUUGACAGAAUAUACCGUAGUUUUAUCAUGUUUGAUAAGUUUCCACCUUUUCUAGUUCCUACUAAAUCUGUUCUAUGUUUCAAAGCCUGAUCAAAAGUACUUCUUCUGUAGUUCAUCGGGAAGAAGGCUGCAUAUGCCCUGAGUCAAGGUGUAGGAGUAAUCGCAUGCAUUGGGGAGUUACUGGAAGAAAGAGAAGCUGGAAAAACCUUUGAUGUUUGUUUCAAGCAACUGAAGGCUUAUGCUGGCAAGUUUACACCCACACCCACAAAAUAUAUAUAUAUAUAUAUAUAUAUAUAUAUAGAGAGAGAGAGAGAGAGAGAGAGAGAGAGAGAGAGAGAGGCAUAUUGAUUAACCGUUUAUAGUGCUCGAAUGAUGUGCAGAUGCUGUCUCAAGUUGGGAUAACAUUGUGGUUGCAUAUGAGCCAGUAUGGGCAAUUGGAACCGGUAAAGUGGCCUCACCAGAGCAGGCUCAAGAAGUGCAUCUAGCUGUUCGCGAGUGGCUGAGCAAGAACGUAUCAGCCGAAGUUUCUUCUAAAACACGUAUCAUUUACGGAGGUACAUAAUAUUCAAUUUGUAGUUUUCCUGUUCAGAAAAUUCUCUUCAAGAAUCCACUACUUAAUCACAUAAUCAUACUACAUGACCAAUAAAUAUACCACUCCAACUCAUAAAGUCUCGAUUAUUCAAACUUAUUGUAACUAGCUAAAACUUUCUAAUUAUUAUUUUUCCCACAGGUUCGGUAAACGGAGGCAAUUGUGCUGAGCUUGCAAAGAAAGAAGAUAUUGAUGGAUUUCUAGUGGGAGGAGCAUCCCUAAAGGUAUUUUCUUCAAGAUUUCUAUUAUUGUUGGAGGGGCGUUUUCGUAUAUCGGCUUUUGGUCUCUAAUGAUUGGUCGAUUCUCGGUUAUUUUGUUCUGUAGGGUCCCGAAUUCGCCACUAUCAUUAACUCAGUGACUUCCAAGAAAGUGGCUGCAUGAUUUAUUGGAUCAACACAAAGAAUAAUGGCUCAGAGAAUCAAAUUAGUACACAGCGGCUGAAAUCAGGAGCCAUUAUCCUCUCCAUAAACAUGUAGUGAUUUAUUACAAAACACCCUAUCAUGUAAUUUUUGAAUCACAAUUCUUUUUCUUCUUCACCAGAAUAAUAAUAAUAAUGUAUUGUAGCAGUGGGUUCAAUAAGGUUUUGGUAAAACUUGCACUCUCAAUACUAGGAAUCAUGCAUCAGUUUUGGAAUUGUUUGUCUGCGUUUUUAUCUCAUAUUUUAUUACAAAUUUAUUUAUUGCAUGAAGAUUUGUACUCAUGGCUUUCAUUCACUGUAUGUGAACUAUUGAGAUGAGAAUAGAUACAAUUAGUUGUAUCUAAUACUUAUGGUACUUCAUUGAUCGCAGCAUGGGCUAUAUGCCUAUAUCUAUCUUCUUUAUAUUCUAUAUUCACUCAAAGGAGUUGUAUUAUUCACUGUACCUUUACACACACAUAUCCAUAUAUAUAUAUAUGAAUAAAAUAUUUCAUUUAUUUUAAAUUAAUGGCCGCUUAACUUUUCUUGUGCACAAGAAAAGGCUAAACGGCUGAUUAGUUUAAUUUAAUCCACAGGAAAUAAUAGACAAGGAGAAAUCAUUACACCUCCACUAUGUGUGGAUGUGUGUCUCCCACUUCAACAACUUUAACCUCAAAAUCAUGACUAAAUCAUGGUUGCGUGUUUUUAGCUUCUCAUAUUCUUUCUUUAUUACUCCCUACACAAGUUCUUGAAAAUGAGGCUAUGCAAUUAAUUAUUAUCCUUGAUUGAUUAAUUGCCCUGCAAACUUAUAAAAAACCAAGCUUUGCUUGUUAAUGUAAUAUUAAUACUAGAAAAACAGCCAUUAACACUUCUUAAAAAUGCAUUAAAAGAAAAUAAAAACUAUAAAGUCAUAAUUCAUAUAGCAAAAUGACCUCAUACAAACCAACUUUCAAGAAACACAGACUGGUACUGCACCAACACAAGCAACAACACUAUCAAAGCCGCCACCCCCCAUGGCGAGCCACCUUCCUCCGACGACCGGAAGUAGUUCCUCCGGCGACUGUCCCACGGCGGAGAAGUGCCGGGGAACCACCACUCCGGCCGGUUCUCAAGAGUCGACAGCCACCUAACGGCAAACAACAAGACAAGUGGGGCAGCCAUUAACAGCCACCCCAUACUCUCCUCAGCAGCUUCGACUACUGAUUCGUACGAAACGUACCAUUGAAGGCCGAGGAAGAGGAAGAUCAGACAAGAGAAUAGCAGAACUGGAUAUGGCAUAGGGUUUAAUGAGAAAGCCUCCAUUAUUGAGGAACUUGUGCUUCUUCUGUAUGCCAUAUUUUUACUCAACGAGUGUGUGUGUGUGUGUGUGAUUAUGAUCUCUCUCUCUCUCUCUCUCUCUCUCUCUCUCUCUCUCUCAAUUUCUAAUUUUGCUUUUUGGAUUUAUAUUCUUUUGUGGACUGAUUCAAGUGACAGUUGAGAAGGAUGGCCUGACUAAUAUAUAGCAGAGAUGACAUAAUCUGAUUAGAUCAGGUGUGCUGCUGUCUACUGGCUUAAGUUGCACCAGCUGUUUGUAGCCGUUGAUUUCAUUACAGAAAAUUAAAAAUAUAAUUUUUUAGACAUUCUUCGAGGCUUUUUAUAACAGCUCUCUGCGGUCAAGAUCAGUCAUGAUUUUAUUGAGAUUAAUUAUUAAUUAUAUCCCUAUGUAAUUCCACUUACAAGGUGAUGAUGAAUGCCAUUUGUUAAGCAACAUUUUGAUUAGAUUUAAAGGGCCCCACACACUAUUGCCCUUUAUAUUGAAUUUACACUACCCUACUUUGGUUGCUAUAAAAAAAUAAUAAAACAAAAAUUAAAAUUAAAAUACUUGAUCAAGAUAGGGCUAAAAAAUUAAAAAGUGGAAGAAUUGAAAAAAGUGUGCAGUUUUUUGGCACAAUUUUUAUCACACAUUCAUUUAGUGUAACCAAUCAACAUAUCACCCAGAGCAGUUUUCUACCUUGAGAGAUUUCGCAUCUCAAUUUGGCAUCUAAUAACUAACUACAGUUAUAAAUAGUAAUGAAAACCACAAAAUCAUCUGAAAAAAUAAGGCCAAAAAAUUAUAUUAAAUUAAAAGAUAACUGAAACAAAAUUUUCAAAAAUUAGACCUCAAACCCAUUCAUGGGACUUCCGUAUUGCCGCUUUUAUCACAACAUAUAUAUUACCUUAUAAUAAAUUGUCGACUUGUUACACGUUGGAAGAACAAAACUUGGCACAGGUACCAAAGAGAGUGAAAUCAGACUUUCCCGGUAUAUUGGAAAUUAUUCUCGUAAUCAUUCCGCAGAGCUGCCAGAGUACUUCUGCACGGACCCUCUACAGAAAACCAAAAAGCAGCAGGAAAAGAAAAAUAAAUAAAUCAGCCACGCAUUAUAAACUUCGAUAGAUAUAUAUAUAUAUAUAUAUAUAUAUAUAUAUAUAUAUAUAUAUUAAAUCGAACUGAGAUGGCUCACCUCCGAAUACAGUAUGCAGAUUUUGAAGCUCAUUAUCAGCUGAGCACAUGUCCAACAGAGCGUACACACCAGGCUUCAAAGCUUCAUCUACUUCCCUAGAAAAUAGGAAAAUCGUCUUAUGUGGAUGAGAAAGAAAAGAAGAAAUAAUCUCAUUUUCUAUAGAUCAAGUGAAGAUACGAGAGGCGAAAAAAAAAAAACCUUAUAAGGCCAUUUCCAGCUGGACCAAAUCCACAGUAAACCCAUAUGUAGCGAGACAAGAACUUGAAAGAAUGUUCCUUAAAUAAAUCUUUCUGCUGCCGUACCUGGAGAAUUGGUUAUUUAUUAUUAAUAGAACAUCACGGGAGGGAAAGUCUAACUUAACGAACUGCGUUAACAGAAACUAGAGAGAAAUGUGGGGCAGACAAAAGCUGAUGCCGCUAACUAGCAAAGUAAACUGCGAUAAAAGUUAAUGGUAUGUAAGCUUAUAAGACCAAGACUUGCAAAAUAGCUAUUAAAGUGAAAGGACUUGGAUACAAAUCCUCGAUUUGAUAGACCAACACUACGCCACAAAAUUUGACAAAGAAUUUAAAAAUGAUGGUACGCAAAGAAAGAGCAAGAUUAGUUCUUUAGAAAGACGUACACGAUUUCAUGCAGUAUACGUAUUUUUAGCAAUUAAGAUAAGAAAAGAAAACACACCUCUUCAUACACUCUUCGUAGACAACUGGCACAUUUUACUGCCUCUUGUACUUCCCAUGAAAAAGACUCUCUUCCAUCAACGUGGUGGACAUUUACAGUCUCUAAGCAAUGAAGAAGAACACUCACUGAAUCUUCUAGAAGAGCUAUGCAAUCGCGAGUCUCACUAAAAGAAACGGAGAGAGAAAAAAUAUUACAAAAAUUCACUCGAUAAAAGUGAUGAUGAACCCACCAAAAAAAAAAUAGCAUACCUUCCGUGAUUUUUAAUAGCAGUACAUAACAUACGGCAAGAUAUAGCAUAUAGCUCUACUGAAAACUUUCGAUCAAAGGCACAUUUGCUUGUUCCGAUAUCAGAUGAAAUGUUAACUAUUUGUAGCUGGAGUAAGUACUGAAAGAGUGCACCAGGUACACGUAGGCACUGCAUCAUGUGGCAAGCACCUUUCUUGAAGAAAAAGGGGUUCCGAGAAAUUUUUGUAAGAAUUUCAACACACAUGAGAACAACUGAACCAGAAUUAGGUCUCUCGUAAGCCUUGAUUGAUUCAACGUAAUCGUAGAAGAUAGUGGGACCCUGCAAAUGCAGGAUGACAUUGAAGAGACAAGCGACUAGGCUCUGUAUGUGUUCUUUGAUUGUACCUUCUAAAUGUUUAGACCCUGCAAAACACAAAAGAAACUGAGAAUACUAAAAUCCAUAUUAAAUUUUAUUACAGCUAUUCCCAAAACAACAUUAUGACUAGUUGCAAAAAUUGAUGCAGUAUGCCUUAGUAAUCACAGAAAACUCAGCAUUAUUUGACGUUCAUGAGUAUUAGUAAUCGAGAAUCUUACACCUGAAACUUUUGAACCCACCAAUUUCUAGCUAAACUAAUAUCUAAAUAGCAGUAUUAGUUUCAAAAUACCAGCCAACCCCUAUUGCAUCUCUAGGAAGUUUUCGUUUUCUGUCUUUGCGAUUUUCAAAAAAAACAACAAGAAAUGCAAACAAUUUAUGGCUGCAAGAUUAAGUAAAUACGAUGAGGAUGAAUUACCGGUUAAUAAAAGUUCAAGAAUUGAGUCCAAGCAAUCAAUACCACCAGCAACAAAAGAGGAGACCUCUCCUCCAUUUGAACUUCCACAAACUAUUUCGUAAUUUGCCAUCACGCCUUUCUGUUCACCAACUAAAGCUCUCUCAACAGCCACAAUAACAGAUAGUAAGUGCAACUCAGAUGACUUCUUCUCCAUGUACUUUCUAAACGAAAUCCUCAAUCUUUCCUUGAACUCGUCUAAUCGAUUUGUUUCCAAAGAAAUACAAGACUUUCCCUGAUUAUCUAACUUUGCUUCCUUUUUUUGCAAAGAGAUGCAUUUUCCGAUGACCUUCAAGUGUAAGCCAGUCAUCUUGGAAUAAAAGUCUCGGGACAAUGAAGGAUCAAAACGUGGAAAGUAACUACCUAGCUCUUCCAGAAAUUUUACAGCACCAUCUAACCAAAAGAAAGCAAAUUGAUGCGGCAUUUCCUCACUUCUUGAAAAUUCCAAAAGCAGAAAUUGAGCAAUAUCUACCACGAUUGCAAAUAAGCUCCACGGUAUAGAAGUCAGGUCAAUCUGCAUGUUCAACCUGACAACAACUGAACAAGCCAUAAACAGCUGACCGAGAAAGAAACUUGCCUCGGCAUUCUCGCCUCUGAAAAUUUGCAUUAACAGGGAUUUUUUCAAACAAAGUUUCUGAUGUUGAACCUGAGAUAGGAAAGCUUCAAGGUCUGAAAUUGCAGGGCAGGAUUGCUCCUCAAGAUUGCGUUUCAUAAGAACAUCCUUCGUACCAGACGAUACCAUUUUCCCUGACGGCUGAUCCUCAAGAAACGAUGCUUUUAUAAGAAAACUUAUAAAAUUCAUGCAUGAAUGUACAGAGGAAUUAAUUCUGGUCAUCAUUUUGGUAUUGUUGCUCAACUUCAUUCUGAAACUCUUAUUGUCCAAUGUAGAGGCCAGGCCCCACAAUAGUCCCUGGAAACAAGCAAUUGUGGACGAUAAUUUAUUCAAAUCUUGACAUCCCUUGUGAAGAAACUCGUCCUUGAAAGUGGUGAGAGACUUGUGCAUGUUUUCGUCUAAUGUGUCAGUUAAUUGUAAGACACUUUGAAGAUUGCAUUCGGAUAUGUCAGGCUCUACGGUUCCAGGUUUUAGGUUUUUUCUUUUUCGACGAAGCUUCCUAUCAGAGAGAAUAGAGCCAAUUUCAUGAUGAAAUUGAUCUUUACUUGCUAACAGCCACGCGUAAGAUGUGUAAUGCAACAUUGAAAAUAUAGCAACUUUAGCUUCAAAAGCAUUAUCUUCUGGAAAUGUAUUUUGAACUCCGAUUACAGCUGACAGUGAUUUUAGAAGCCAUGGCAGAGGCAGUGAGCAUUUUAAACUCCCACUCACAUUUACUUUUCCAGACGCUAAAGCUAAAGUAGGAAGAACCUUCCGACAGGUCACCAAUAAUCGAAAGAUCUGAUACGGAUUGUGAGAGCAUGAUUCACGGCGCCAUUCUAAUAAGCUGCUAACUAAAAGCCUGAAAUGCACAGAUAUAUUUAGUCCACUGCACAGUUAUAUUCGAAGAUUACUACAAAGUAGUAUAAAGUGAUAAAUGCAAACACAAGUCAACUAUACAUACCUUUCAAGGUUGAGAAUAUAGGUGAUAUACAGUGAUGAUGAUUCCAAACUCAAAUAUUCUUCUGGCAUUUGCACUAGAAGAGUGAGCAAACGUUGACAUUUUGCAAACUCGACAUUAAUUUGCUCGUUGCCAUUCUCAGCAGGCACCAUAUCUGGUUUCCUCCACGGAAAACCACCAAUUUGCACAUCAGAUGGUUUUUCAACUUCAGAUAAAACCUUGAUCCAAUCAGGCGACUCACUCAAAUCAACUCCAGAAGUAGCAAAUAUAGAUGACACUGACAUCUGCAAAAUCUUGCAGAAGCUUGAUGCCAUAUAUCUGCAAACAAACUGAGAUAGAAGGUCACUGACAACAUGAAAGUACAGGAAGUAGAAAGCAGAAAGAAAAGAAAAGAAAAAAGAUUGCAGACUAUUAACAGAGAUUCUUGGCCUAACGCAAAUUAAUUAGUGUGAGAACUUCUCCAAAUUGAAAUAACCAACAAAUUUGAAAUUCGAUAUAUUGAUUAUUAAAAUGAGAAAAUGUGAUUGGGAAGGAAAGAAAUCAGAUGGAGGAGAAUAAAAAUAUUGUUAUCUUACUCUUUGUUCAUAUGAUAUGGUGUUGCUCAAAAACUCCAACGCAAUCUGAUAGGCAGUUACUUUCUCCAGAUAAAUGGGCUUGUUCGUUGUAGAGUGGCAAUUAUCCUCAUUUAUAUACGAAAUGGAAGCCUGAAUAACAAGAGUCAAAAAUUUCUUCAAGUCCUUUUUGGCAGCAUGUGAGCACCAAAUAUCAACAUGUUGGCAAUUGGUCCACCAUAAUGCAUAUGCCAACGACUUCUCCUCCAAGGACCCUACAGAAAAACUCUUGUCUAUUCCACCACCAAAUGACGGAGCAAAUAUCUGGUCCUUGUAAAUUGACGAAAGGGACUCCAUCAUGAAUUUUGUAAGACCAACAGCUUCGUUUCUCAUUCUCGUAACACGCUUUUCCCAUUUUCUACAUGAAGAAUCAUCAGCAUCUUUCCACUGAAGCUUGUACUCAGAAGACCGUAUCAAUAAGUUUAACUCAACAAGUCUCUGAAGAGCCACAGCAUUUAAUACCCACACCAAUGGUGGGCAAAGUACAACAGAAUCUUGAGUACAAAUAUCUAAAACAGAAUGUAUAACAUCAAGAACAGUUGCCGGAGGUUGAAUAAUCGAGGACAAGAGGUCUUUUCCAAAAGAACCAGCCAUCUCCAACCAAUCACUUGCAGGACGAAUGGUUAAUGAAUCACUCAUUACUAGAGACAUCUUUUCUGAUUCACGAGGAGCCACAAGUCUGAUUGUUUGCCUAAAUAAGCUCCUGUAGGACAAUAUUAAACGAAAAAAGACCACCAAGAUCCAGCAUAUAGACACAUUGUCACAUCCAGUACUCUUACUCAAACUUACUCCAUCAACCAAAACACAGAUUUCUUGUGAUGAAACCAGGUUACUUAAACCAGGGCGUAUAAUUUCUAGCAAAUUCGUCAAGGAAACACCAAGAAGAUAACUAUUACCAGAAGUGACUGUUAUUGAAUCCAGAAUGAUAAUAUAUACUUCAGACAACACCUUCCCCAAGAGUUCUGCUCGCAAACGAAACUGCAGUGAGUCGCAUUUAUUUGAUUUUUCAGUUUUCAGCUGAUGCCCACAUUUUAUCCAGUCUAGAGAUUCCAUAAUAUCUGAACUUAAUUGCUUAAUGCAUCCAGAUGCUUGCCCUUCUGGUAUUGCCUUAAUAGCAUUGCCGAGAGAGAGCCUAAAUUUUGAAGAGCAUAAUAACAUGCUCAAUGCAUUUGAAUAGGAGGCAAAUUGAGUAUAUGCUUCACUGUCUCCGACGAGUGACGACGAAUGCCUCAGUGCUCUACAAAGUGAAGAUAUAGAAGAAUCCACCUACAAUAGUUCAAUUCAUAAAUUCAGAAAACUGCAAUCUUCGGUCAGACGGGAUACCAUAAAAAGAAAGCGGAAAGAAUGUAAUGCGUAAAGUUGAAAAAAGAAUAAUCCAGUUCCAUACUUCUGCUAUUACGUCUGUUCAGGCAAAUCAAAUACUUCAUGACAGAUUCACUAUCCAUGGCAAAGGGAAAUAUGGUUGAAUGCAUAACUUUCAAAUACUAAAUGGCAAGAUGUUGAUUGUUCUACAGAUGUAGAAGAGAACAGCUUAUAUUACUCUUUCAUGCAAUAAACAAUCGUGUACAUAUGCAGUAACAUAAUUUAUAAAUGUAAGCUUCAAUCUUCAAAGAGAUAAAAUGAGAGAAAAAAUUAAGAUAAAGCUGCUUAUUUCUCGUUCUCGAGGCCAUAUAAUAAAUUACACUGAACUUUUGGUUCAUGCAAAUGACAAAGCAAACAAAGUUACACACACACACACACACACACACACACACACACACACACACACACACACACACACAUAUAUAUAUAUAAAUAUGUACAUAUAUGCAUCUCUCUGACCUGCCGAAGUUCACUAUAAAGAUCAAUCAGCUUGCACCCUAGGCGAAGUAUCUCUGAGAACAGUAAUGGUUGACCCUCCACAUCCAUUGAGCUAUAGCAGCAUGCCGUAGAGGAGAAAACCAUGGCCCAUAAGCUCUCUAAAUCAUCCCCCACAACCUCAUACUCAAUGUCCAACAAGUGAUGUACUGUAACAAUAAGAUCCUUUCUAACUGAAAUAUAGAGUGAGUUCUGUGAUUUUUCAUCUGAUCCACAAGAAGAUGCUUUUUUAUGGGAAAUUUUAGAAGAGAUUGACAUGAGCGUGUCAUAGAUUAACUUCAGAAAAUUCAUGGCAGCCCCUUCAGACGUAUCCUCUGUUCUUAGAUAUAGCUUAUCGUUAAUGAAGCUGGCGAGUAAGUUAUUAAUGGAUCUUAUUGUGCUGGAAACAUUAAACAACGACACUGCUUCACCAUCUGAUUGAAGAUAUUUAUUGAGAUAUUCUAAUAGAUAUUCUAGAAUCUGUACAAAAUAAUCAAGGAUAGAUUUCCGCAGUUCUGCUUCCAUGCUAUGACUUACAGAAAUCUUUUUUGACGACACUUCUGAUUGCUUAGAAUCUCCUCCGUCGACUAAAACUCCCUUGUGCUUCGUAACGGAACUAACAAACAAGUGAAGCAGCUCCGCUAGACCAAUUAAUGGCGAUCCAUUCUUCUCAGCUAUCAUCUUCUCCACCUUAUCGAAUAGGUGUCUAUGAUAACUUUUAAUCGCAAUUUUUUCCUCCUUCACUGUUGCUGUCACUUCAGAAGAAUUUCUAUAUCUAUUACUACUCUGUAGGUUGAGAAAUCCGUCAAUGUGAGUUGGGUGGAACAGCCCCUGAGCUAAAACUUCUUCAAUCAGUUUAGGUAAAUUCGUCCAUUCGAUGCUACUGCCCCAAGAACUAGAAUGUAGCACAUGUGACGAGUGCAGAAGUGGCACAAGAAGCUUAUCAAUGAAAUUAUGGAAAUUGUUUUUACGUGUUGGAUGAAGCCUCAAAAACUUGGCAAAUGGCUCAAACAAACAGCACGAUAACUGCAAGACGAAAUAGCCUAGCUUGCUGCUCUCGAGCUGCAUUUUAACAACUUCCAAUACGAGUUCAAGCACUUUAUCCAUGAGCAAAAUCCACAAGUCCAUAUUCUGAUUUGCAACUCCACCAUGGGAUGAGAAGACCAAUGAGAUACAAUCAAGGGCAACUUCAUAAAGUUGCAGUCGCUCGACUGAUGUUCCCUCACAACAUAAGGACAUGUUAUUUAGAUUAGAUGAUGCGUCCAUUGUAAUGGAAUGAAUCACCCGUAACAAGUCCUUAUAACAUAUCAAUUGAAGAUGAAAGGUUUUCGACUUCUCCAAGCAGAAAUGAAAAAUCUUCCAGCACUUAAGAUCCAAAACUGAACCAGAAGCUCCAAACUCAGGUUUCUUUUCUUCAAGUUUCGUCUUCUUUUCGGAAGAUAUGAGAACUGACUGAACCCAAUCAUUGAGGAAAACUAUUGUCCUUGACGUACUUAUUACCUGCAAGGUCUGACGAGUAUCAUCCAUCUCCUCAAUACUGUUUGAUUUCACAUAAUCAAACGCCACAUCGACCUUCCUGCAUUUAACAUAUCCAAUAUUAGGUUUGCAAACACGAUUUUAAGUUGUAAACACAAACAUAACCAUGCAUUCAUCCAAGUUAGAUGAACCAAUUUUCACAAAAUUUCAGCAGCAUAUUCACACUUCUAUGAGCAAAAUAUCAAAUAUUGGAGGAUGGCAACAGUGUGUUCUUAUUAGUGUUUCAAAGCCGGAUAUUGAUGCACGGUAUAAAGAACAAUUAACUCGCAGCGACUUCGUUGCUCAGACUUUCUUGCUCAAAUAGAAAGGUUUCACUUCUUAACUAACUUAAUUAAGUUGACACCACUAAAACUCAAGUUUUACUUUAACUUAAUUUUCCUUUCAUAAACGCAAGCUGGUAAUUUUUCCCUGUUUCUAUGCUAACACAAAACCAAUUCAACAGAUAAACACGAAUGAGUGAAUUAACCGAACCUACAAACUCAAUUUACACACCCAAAAUAAAUUAUUGAUAAACUAAACGUACUUUAUAAGGUCGAUGUUUUUAUCUUGUAGCGACAAAAUCAACUGCAAACUAUUCCACGACGAACUCUCUUUGAUUUCGCUCUCUCUAUCCGAUUGGUGUACACGAGUAACCUUUUUGUCUUUCCGCACUUGUUCAACACUAUCGGUGCUUCUCUCCUUCCUUUUCUUCUUAAUUGGCACUGGUUCGGAGCAUGGUUCGGCAUAACCGACCUUUCGCCGCCGCUUCGGUGGAAUACUAGCCUCCAUAACAACGUUCCAAGUUCUAAUCUUAGUACCGGUGAAAUUGAUUGUUAUUGCCGGACGGAGCUUGUAUUUCGCCGGAAAAUUGGUGCAGGACUAACCUCGUACUAUUGCUACUUGUAUUUAACCGCUAUUAUUGUGCGCGUCGGCGGCGGCGUAACGGUGAAGAUGGCGGCCGAGCAAGUAAACCCACAAAACGGUGAGCAGAAAAAGAGCUGCCUUUAAAAGCUGNNNNNNNNNNNNNNNNNNNNNNNNNNNNNNNNNNNNNNNNNNNNNNNNNNNNNNNNNNNNNNNNNNNNNNNNNNNNNNNNNNNNNNNNNNNNNNNNNNNNGAGCAGCCCAUUGGGGAAUUAUAAUUAAUAUGUUUUUCCAAGUCUGGAUCGGAAAAAAGUUAUUAUUUAAAUGAUGUUAUUAGUUAAUCGAGGUUAUAUUGUAUGUUUACCAACCAUUCCCACUUUUAUUAUAUAUUUUAUUUAUUUAUUUAUAUUCACUAUCUUAUUUUUCACUAUUAAAUUGUUAUAACUUAUAUACCACAAAAUACUAAGAAAUUGGUUUUUUUUUUUUUUCAAAAAACGAGUAUAAAGUCAAAAUCUAUUGCAAUAAAAAUUAGAUAAAAUAAAAAAUUAUAAAAUUCUUAGUUAGAUUCCUAAAAUACAAGUUAGUACACUUAAUUUCACCCACUCAAACACUUUUCCUUAAAAUAAUGUAUAAUCAAUUCUCCAUCCGUUUCAAGAGAAAAUCCCCCACGGAAAAUAAUUCGUAAAUUCAGCCCACACACACACACGAGAUACACCGAUACGUACACCCCUCUCUGCGUGCGUACACAGAAGAAGAUGAGGUCACCGAGGAGGCCGAUCCAGGCCGUGUCGACAUGGGUGCGGCGGCAGCCGCCCAAGGUAAAGGCGUUUCUGGCCGUAAUCAGCGGGAUGGCGGCGCUUGUUAUCCUCCGCGCAAUCGUUCACGAUCACGAUAAUCUCUUUGUUGCGGCUGAGGCUGUCCACUCGAUCGGAAUCUGCGUUCUUAUUUAUAAGUUGAUGAAGGAGAAGACUUGCGCUGGUAGGGCCUUGUAUUUUUAUUUUGUAUUUUGUUUUUUUGCUGUAAAUUGAUUUUGUUUUUUUACGUUUUUUGUAUCAGCUGGUUAUAAUUGAAUUGAGGAUUGUUAGGGCUUUGAGAAUUGAGGAGUUGGGGAAUGAGGGCACAUAAAAUCUCAUUAUUCUAAUUUUCUGCUUGUUUUUGGGCGAAAGAUUGAUUGUGCAAUUUUUAUUUUUACUUUGUCCUCUGAAGAAGGUGCUUGGGGGUGGGGUAGGGGGUGGGGGGUGGGGUGGGGGUAGUUGUAUACUUGUUUGUGCUAUUUACUUUAUGGUUUUGAUUUUUAGCUUUUGAGAAUUGAGGAUUUGGGGAGAUGUUGCUCUGGUUUUUUGUAUUCCUUGUUUUCUUGUUUCUAUGUUAAGAUGCCGACUCGAUUGUUUAGAAUUGCUGCUAUUGAAAAGAGCAAUUAUAUAGAGUGUUGAAAGAUGGGACUUUAUGUGUUUUCCCCUUCGGAAUAUUCGUUCUUGGAGAUAGUGGUUGAAUUAUUCGACCCCAUUUAAUUGAAUGCCAGAAAAGGGGAAAAGUUCAUUUUUUUGUUGGAACUCUGUUUUAUGGUGGUUAUAAUAAUGGGAGUUAGUUAAUACAUUGCAGCUUUUGUUAUGCACGGCAUGUAAAAUAUGAGGGUGAACUAUUGGUUGUUGCUUUCGGUCCUCCUUGGCAUACAAAUUUUAAGUUGUAGCGUAAUAAUUUGAACAGCAUUGAAGUUUAGAAUCAUUAGUUUGUAAAAACAAUUCGACAUACAUCUUGCAAUGUGAGCUUAUGUCUAUUUUGUAAUAUUUCAUUGACUUCGUCAUAUUUAUACUUUAGAAAUGCUAAUCGCCUGUAUAACUUGCAUCGUGGCAGGCAUUUCGCUCAAAUCCCAGGAUCUAACGGCUAUCUUUCUGGCUGUAAGAUUAUAUUGUAGUUUCGUGAUGGAAUAUGACAUACACACCGUGCUUGACAUGGCUACACUGGCAACUACUUUAUGGGUUAUAUAUAUGAUCCGACUUAAACUGAAGUCGAGUUAUAUGGCGGAUAAAGAUAAUUUUGCGUUAUACUAUGUGGUAAGUCCUCUUGCAUCAAUCUCGAGAUCCCACUUCUUAGUGCUUCAUUCAUUAUUGUCCUGUUUUGGUUUUUUGGAUGCUUCACCCGUUUUUUUAAAUUCACUGUUUGAUAGAGAGUUUUCUGCCUUUUACAGCUGGCCCCUUGUGCUAUUUUAGCUUUACUAAUCCACCCAUCUACAUCGCAUCACAUCAUUAACCGGAUUGCAUGGGCUUUCUGUGUCUAUUUAGAAGCUGUUUCAGUGCUACCACAACUGCGCGUCAUGCAAAACACCAAGGUACAAUUUUCUUAAGGGUUCACUUAUCGCACGUGUACGCUAAUUGACAACACUAUUCUUAAGUUUGUGAACAAUUAUAUAUAGUGUAUGACCUAAUAAUGUCAUCUUCAAUGUUUGGGGUUUGCAGAUUGUCGAACCAUUCACCGCUCAUUAUGUAUUUGCAUUGGGUGUUGCGAGGUUCUUGAGCUGUGCUCACUGGGUUCUCCAGGUUUGACUUUGACACGAACUUCUCGCCCAUAAUUAUUUAAAAUAUUUAAAAUUAACCAAGUGCAGAAAUAUGUGCGUGUUUAAGUGAAAAAUGAAACUCUUUAUUUUGAUGCCAACCCGCAUUCGACAGGUUCUUGAUAGCCGUGGGCAUCUUCUUGUGGCAUUGGGUUAUGGACUUUGGCCUUCGAUGGUUCUUAUUUCAGAAAUUGUUCAAACCUUCAUUCUGGCCGACUUUUGCUAUUACUAUGUAAAAAGGUUUGAUUUUUUUGUAACCAAUACUAGUGUGUGUGCGUGUGUGUUUAUUCUGCAAAUAAUUUGAAUCGAUUAAAUAACCUUUUUUUUAAAACGUGCAGUGUUUUCGGAGGUCAGCUUGUGCUGCGUCUUCCUUCUGGAGUGGUGUAAUCGGCUUCGUAAUCUUAUGUUAGUUCUUCUCUCUUCAUCAGCAGAAUUCUGAUGUGUGGCAAAAGCUUGGUAGUUGAGGCAAAUUAGAUAUAUUUAUAUCAACUUACCAAAAUACUAUAUUAGUUCGAUUGUAUCACUACUAAUUUUGGUUUCGUAGAAUGGAUUUCUUUUUUUUUUUUUUUUUGGCAAGACUUCAAAUAUUUCUUACUGAUUGGCGAUCGCAAUACUUUGCUUGACAAUAUAUAGAGAUCAAGUUGAGGUAUUCGAUAAUCGGUUUGAAUUAGAUGGUCAAAAGCACGGUUCGAUAACAUAACGAAUUAAAUUUUCACUUUUAAUUUUGUUCUAUGAGAUGUGAAGUUCGAUUUUGACUUGAGCUUGAUUAUAUGUAUAAAAAUCAAGCUACACGAGCUCGAGCUCAAUCAUAUACAGUUUUUAUAGCUCGAUAAAGAUUCAAACGAGAUUGAACAAUCCCGAAUCGAAUUUGAUUCGAUUUAAAGGAGCAGUAUGAAUUAAGUGAACCAAGAUUGCAUCUUCUGCAGAGAGUUCCUCAAAGCAUAUACAUAGGGUAUAUUACUGCGACUCUCAAAUUACGAAAAAAUCCCUUUUGUUUAAGUAAUUAGAACCAUCAGUUAACUAUGAAUCUUCUUACACGUCCACCAUUUAUGGAGUUAAAUUCGACUUGAUCAUCUAAAUUACGCGGAAUGUUCAAUUUAUUAGCAUUCAUAUAUUUGUUCGUUUUCAAUUCUUGAAUUAAUUGUAGAUAUUUUGAGGUGACGUGGAAGGAAACUUCCAGAAAGAAUACAGCUGUGUGAAGCACAAAAAGUAGAGUUUGAAUACUAGUUUGUUUUGAGUUGGAACUUCAAUUAAACUUUAGAAGGAUUAUCCUAAAAAAUGGAACAAAGUAUUAUUAUUUAUUGGUAAGAGGGACCCUUAAUUUUAAAGAUACCUUUCCCAAUAAUUGUUGACUUCUUUUCUUAAUAGUGAUUCUUAUCCAUCAUUUGCCAUCUGUCAUUGCUAUCUUUUUGUGUGUGUUUCUGGGGUGGGUGUGAAUGGGGCUGCUGAUAUUAUUGCAAAUACACAUUACAUUUUGGCUUUUCCUUUAUUUAUUUAAUAUUAUUAUUUGUACAUUUAUCAAAUAUUAUUUAGUAUCUCUUUUUUUUUUUUAAAUAUCAACUUUUCUUGUAUUUAAAAUUCUCAUUCUCGUUUAUUAAUUAGUAAUAACAUAAUUUGAGUAUCAUUUUAGGUGAGUAGGGUACACUUACAGGCUAAGUUACUAGUUAAUGCCCACAGGAAUUAUAGUUUAUUAUUAUUUGCAUGCAUGGUGCAUGGCACUUUCCUUUUACUCUCUUUCUUCACAUCCCUUUGUAUUAUUUCUUUCAUCUCACUUUCUUCUCUAUAAGUACUCCCCUUAUAAUCUCAUCCAAUUGCAACCAUAAUCUCUCUCUCUCUCUCUCUCUCUCUCUCUCUCUCUCUCUCUCUCAAUGGCUAUUACCAGCAGCAAAGUCCUAAUUGCAUCAAUCUUUGUGUCUCUUCUUGUUCUCCAAGGUGUUCAAGCAAUAAUCCAACCCAAUCAUGUGGUAAUUAAUGCUUCUAAUUCAUGUAAUAAAUACAAGAACACUAUUUUCUUAUUGUGAAUAAUGAGUUUGCAGAGUAGUUGAAAUUAACUUUAAUUUGAUCCCACACAAUUUAAUUACUUCCUAAACUUACAAACAUUUAUAAAAUUGCUUUAAAUACUAACUAAUUCUUGAUUUCUUCAACGUUUUGUUUUUCCGCAGACUAGCAGUGUCGUCGUAUCGGAACCUUCAGACAGCUCAAAGAUAGGUAAAAUCUUACUAACUGAUAUAUUAAUUAAUUAAUGUUCUUGAUUUAGUUAUUACUUAUAUUAAUCAAUAUUUGUUUUGUGUAUGUAUAGACUGUAAGGGAGCUUGUGCAGAAAGAUGCAAAUUAUCAGGAAGGCCAAAUCUGUGCAAAAGAGCUUGUGGGACUUGCUGUGCCAAGUGCAACUGCGUGCCACCUGGCACUUACGGCAACUACGAGGCUUGCCCUUGUUACGCUAGCUUGACCACCCGUAAUAACAAGCCUAAAUGCCCUUAGAGCCCGUUUGGAAGGACGGAUUUGGGCUAGGACGGAUUUUAAAUCCACUGCCCAAAUCCACUACGUCGUUUGGGCCGCAACUUAAAUCAGUGGAUUUCAAAUACCCCUAAAAACCGAUGGAUUUGAGCCCAUUUUUUAAUGGAUUUCAAAUCCUCCCACAAACCUAGUCAUUUGAAAUCCACCCAUCGUGACUUCUCUCAGCAGCCUUCAAAAAUUAGGGAUUUCUUCAAUUAUUGAUCUUCUAGCAGGGAAUAUUCCUCUUCAACGGCGGCGCUCGACGGCAGUGCUCGACGGCGGUGAUCGACGGUGGUGCUCGGCGGCGGUGCUCGGAGGCGGUGAGAUGCCCAUAGACCCUCUCUUGGACGCAGUGCCGGCCCUGAUGGGAGGCCACACAAGCAGUUGCUUUGGGCCCCCAUCUCAAAGGGGCCCCCAAUUUUGUGUUUUUUAUGUAAUGUAUACAUACAUACAUAUACGUAUAUAAUAAACAAAUAUUAAAUAUAUUCAAACACUCAAAAUGAGUCCACGUGUGACUUAUAAAAAGUGAAAGUGAAUAUUGGAUAAAAAAUAAUAUAAUUAAAUUAUACUUGAAGCACUUAAUUAAUUUUAGGUUAAAUAUUUUCGAGAUAAUCUAAAAUUCUUUAUUAUAUGUAGUGAACUGUGUAUUUUUUUUAGUAAUAUGUUAGAAAGCCAAAUCUUUUUAUUGUUCACUACGUAAUUUUUUCAGAAUUUUAUUAUUAUUUUAAUAAUAUAAUAAACUUUUUUUUUUUUGAGAAAAUAAAUUAAUAAACUUUAAGUUGAGUAAGAAGAUAAUGUAUUACUAAAUAGAAAGAAACUUUGAUGAUAUAGUAAGAAACCAUACCAAACUUUCAAGUAGGGGUGAGGAAAAAAAAAUCGAGGAACCGAACCGAAAACCGAUAAAACCGAACCGAAUUGCACCGAACCGAAGCAUAAACCGAAUACUCGGUUUUCAAUUUUAUGUGAACCGAAAAUUUCGGUUCGUAUUCGGUUUUCCAGGUAGGAAACCGAACCGAAGAACCGAACCGACAUCAAUACGACGUCGUUUCAUUAAAUAUAUAUAUCUUUUUUUACUUGAAUGAAUUUCAUUGAUUUUCGGCCCUGUUUUGGGCCUACAUUUGGGCUUGUCUUUUAUUGUUUUUUUUUAUUUCUGAAUUUCGAGUUGAUUUAUUGACAUUUUUGGGCUGAUUUUCCGGCCCAAAUGAGCCCAAAACCGAACCGAAAACCGAACCAUUAUUGAAACCGAACCGAGAAAUUUAUGAACCGAGAAGGAACCGAAAUCGAACCGAAACCGAGAAGGAACCGAACCGCAAGGAACCGAUCGGUUCGGUUUUUUGUUCUUUAGGAACCGAACACUUCGGUUCCGGUUCCGGUUUGUGCCUAAAACCGAACCGAACCGAACCGUUCUCACCCGUACUUUCAAGUUCGCUUAGGGCCCCGAAAAUGUCAGGUCCGGCCCUGCUUGGACGGGUAGUCUACCUCGACUCCAACCUCGUCUUCGUCGACGACAUCGCGAAAGUCGCGGCAACGCCGCUCCCGAACGGGGCCGUGCUGGCGGCGCCGGAGUACUGCAACGCCAACUUCACCACCUACUUCACGCCGACGUCUGGUCCAGCCCUUCUCUCUCUCUAAUCUUCGCCAACAGAAAACCCUGCUACUUCAACACGGGGUUAUCGUGAUCGAUCUUCAGAGAUGGAGGGCCGAAGAUUACACCACCAAGAUUGUCGAGUGGAUGGAGCUUCAGAAGAGGAUGAGGAUUUACGAGCUGGGCUCUUGCGCACCAUUCUUGCUCGUGUUCGCCGGAAACAUAGCUCCGGUUGAUCACCGGUGAACCAGCACGGACUCGCCGGCGAUAACUUCCGUGGCCUCAGCCGUGAUUUGCACCCCGGUCCGGUGAGCCUGUGGCAUUGGAGUGGGAAGUGGAAACCGUGGGCCCGGCUCGACUCGAACCGGCCCUGCCCGCUCGAGAGAUAUAUAUAUAUAUAUAUAUAUAUAUAUAUAUAUAUAUAUAUAUAUAUAUAUAUAUUAUUUUUAUUUUUAUAUAGUGUUAUUAUUUAAUGAAAUUUAACUGAUAUUUCUCAGAAGUUCAAUAAUUGCAAUAUCACAUUUGUAUGAUAUGAAAAUAUUUGUAAAACUAAUUAAAGAAUUUAAAUCCACUGCUCUUUAGCCAAACAGUGAAUUUGAUUUGAAAUCCUUUGUAUAAAUCUUCAUGUAUCCAAAUAGGUGAUUUUAAAUUGUAUGGAUUUCAAAUCCAAGGUAUUUUAAAUCCAAGGUAUUUCAAAUCCAUUCGUUUGAAAUCCUCCAAUCCAAACAGGACCUUAGAUUUAUUUAUCUUUUUUCAAAUAUUUUCUUCUGUUUUUUUUUUUUUUUUGUUUUUUCCAAAUUUACUUGUAUAAUUAUGGUUGCAUAUUUCUGUAAGUAAUUUAAGUUGUUAAAUAAUGAAUGGGAUCACUCGAUUGCAACAAUGGUUGUGGUCGCAUGUCAGAUCCCAACAAUUAAACCUUAUAUAGUCCGUCCUUUUUUUAUUACGAGUCUCGAGUACGUAGAUCGAGCUAGCAGAAUGGCUCCAACACCAACAACUCUCCUUAUAUUUAGUUAGUUAUAGUCACCUCCUCAACUAUGUAAUAUCUAACGAAAAUAUCCCUCUAGAUGUAAAUUUAGGAAUGCUAAAUCGAUAAAGCCAAAUCGAAAUUUCGGUACGACUGUUUACCGAACUGAAUAUACGAUUUGAUUCGGUAAAUAACCGAAUUACAUUCAUAUUGUUUACCGAACUGAAUAUACGAUUUAAUUCGGUAAAUAACCGAAUUACAUAAAUUUUAUGUAAAAAUAUUUAAAAGGAGGGAGUGGUUGUAAUUACACAAAUAAGAAAAAAAUUUUCGUAGUUUAACCAUACAUCAGGGGUGCACGUAAUUUACCCUAAGUAUAUAAAUGUUCCUCUGAAAAUUUGGUUGCCGUUUAUAUGGGCCGGAUAACUACAAUUUGGGCUUAUUCAUCACCAAGCAAAAGAAAAAUAAAAGACGAAAAGGGAAUGGGCACAAAUUUGUACCCUAGACGAAAUUAAUGGCAAGCCGUGUCGUAAAGCUUCGAUGAUGGCAGAGGCGGAGAGCUGGGGUAGAACAAAAAUUCGACAGAGUGAAACGGGAUUGAACGAAAUUUCAUCUUUUGCAAUUUUAAAAACUGAUAAAAGAAAAAAAAAACAACUUUAUAAAACACAACAAGAGAGAUGGAUGCAUAAUAAAAGGAUGAAGAUUAAGAGUAAAUUGUCAUUAGUAUUCGUGAUUAAGCAACUAUUACGUACUAACUAAGAUAAGUUACAUGCCCCAUUUUAUUUUUUCGGCCAACUAUGGCGACGACGGCUGCAGAAGAGUGGAGGAAGAUGCGACAGGCUCGUGCACAACCGAAUUUAUAGAUACGGAAACGGGGUUGCCUUCCAAUUGCAGCAUUAUACUUCCAAUUACUUCUCUCAGUAGUUUUUUGAACUCUUCUUCUUUCACCGUUUUUCCAUCUCCAGCAUCGAACAUCUUAAGAGCCUCGGUCAUAAUACUAUCCAUCUGCAAAUCAUUGUGUUUGUGCGCGCGCGCACGUGAGAGAGAUAGAGAGAGAAAUUUUACGAGGGUAAAUACGUAAACAAACGUAUUAGUGACUGUUGCGACUUGCGAAUGAGCAAUUACCUGAUUAACAGCACCUAACGGAGGUAAGCCAGCAAAUGCGGCCAAAGAAUCGAGUGCCAGACCCAAAUAUUCCUUUGAUAUUUUCCCGUGUCGAUCUUUCGGAACACUUUUUAUAGCAGAAUCCAAUGUCUGCAUACAUGAAAUGUGGCCUUUCUUUUAACUACUUCAUUCAAUUAUUAUGCUAGGCGACUUGAAUUACUUAUGUGACUCGAACUAUUUUCGAUCGUUAUUAUCUUCGAAUUAUCUUAAUUGUCCACUCAAUUGAAUUCGUACACACAAUAAUUUCAACAACAUAAUGUAAUGCUAUUUGUUUACAUGCACACUAUUGAUACAAUUAUGCACUAACCUUUUCCAACUCGAAUUUGUUCGACAAAAGCCUCUUAAUGCCACUCCCGUCAAAAGUAUUCUGACUGUGUGCAACAAUAGCCGGUUGUUCUUGAAGAAGCUGCACCACGUUUUCGACAGCUUUGGCGAACUCCGACAAAAAUAUCUCUUGCGUAACUUGUUGGUCAAGGCCACCCCCAAGUGAUUCCAAAGCCGGCUCCACAAUAUUGCUUAUGACCUACAAAAAAGAUUGGAGCUCGAUUAAAAGAACACAAAAAAAUCGAUUUUUUUUUAUGAAAACUAUUUAUACCCAAGGAUCUGUGGCAGGAGGCAUCCCAUCGUCGACCGUAAGUUUCUCAAAGGCCUUGACAAUGUAAUCUUUUAAGGAGCCGUUUGGCAAUUCGAUUUCUGAAAAUAUGGAAACCAACUCGGGUUCGAAAGAUGGGCUUUUAACGAACUCGUUAAGGUCUUCGCCAUCGAUACGAAGAAUGACUACAGGGUCUCGUUUCAAACCGGCAGCCAUGCCCACUAGAAAAUCCGAAAGAACUUCUUUGAACUCCGUCUUGCUUAUCUUUUCUUGCUUACCGUGCGUAAAUUCAUUAAGAACCUGGUAUCAUAUCAGAAAAUCGCGUUAGCAGUUCACUAAUUAUGGUCACGUUCUUGAGUUUCUACAAACACGUCGGAUCGGAUCAAUAAUACCGUAAUUAAUAUUGCUGUUAAUGAAUAACAUAAGUGGAUAAUCUAAUCAAUCAAUCUUGAAUACAAAGUGACUCAAGGCCAUGUGCAUCAGUCUUCAAAUGUUAAGACCUCGUUUGGUACAAAAAUAAGAUCAGCCAAGAUAAGAUUAAAUAAUUUAAUGAAAAUCCAAUUAUAUUAUAGCACGAACAAGAUCAAAUAAGAAAAACAUGCCUAAAAAUGAGUCCAUUGCAAAAAGUACCUAUGUAAUCUCUAAACAGCAAAAAAACCUCCGUAAUAAAAAAUACUAGCAAAAACCCCCUAUAAUUUUUGCAGUUUACUCCCUAAAAAAAUAACAUAAUUUUUUUUCAGAGUCAUCAUAACAUAAUAUUUAUAAGUCAGACUCGUCAUCAAGAUACUAAAAAUCAAACAAAGUCUAAUUAUUUAGUUAAUAAUGGCUAAUCUACUCAAACAAACGAUUAAUACGAAUAAACGGUAAAAAAUAAAAAAUANNNNNNNNNNNNNNNNNNNNNNNNNNNNNNNNNNNNNNNNNNNNNNNNNNNNNNNNNNNNNNNNNNNNNNNNNNNNNNNNNNNNNNNNNNNNNNNNNNNNUUCUUUAUUUUGGUCGGCCCGUAGGAAUGCGACGCGUGUCCAUUUUCACUCGAUUGCGUAAGGCAGCGGCGAUUGGGUUUUGACUGAAGAUGUGAGGGCCCUUUUCAUUUGAUGGGCCUUUGCAUAUUCGUUUCACAUUGAUUUUACUUUGGCCCAUCUUUUACUUUCAUUUAUGAUUUUAAUUGUAGAUUUCAAUUACCCCAUGACUAUAAUUUUUUUUAAAUAUUUAUUUUUCUAGUGUCAAAUUUAGAGAAAUAUUUUAGAUUAUGUGAAAUAUUUUCUAGUAUGUACACGUUUUAUCCCAUUCGAGAUCUAUAUUUUGAAACAAGCUGAUCAUAAAAUGUGUCUCGUAGCUUGUAAUCAGAUUGUGGUGCAUCAGAAACUGAUUUUUUGCAUAAAACGAGUACCGAUUAGUGAACAUUCCAUGAAAACCCAAAAGAUUCUUUUGAAUUUAAGAACAUUUCAUGAAAUUCAGAAGAUUUUUAGUUAAUGGGUGAUUAUAAUUAUCAAAAUAUGAUUUUUUUUUUUCGUAAUUUGACAUUACAUCAGGGUGACAGUAAGACCCGUGACUUAACUAAAUAAUAAUUAAUUGGUCAAUAUUAAUUGGGCUUCAAUCUAGAUAUUGCAGGGUCAUACGGAAAUCUAGUCAAUUCACUAGGCCCAAUUCACAUGAAAUUUAUUGCAGGGUCAAUUUUUAUUGGGCUUCAAUUCUUUGUUACAUGAAGUUUUUAAAAUGGUUCAAUUUAUAAGUUUUGAUUUUUUGUGAAAUCAAUAUUCUUAUUUAGAUAAAAUUUCGGUUUAGUAUUGUAUAGUUAUUUAAGUUUCAUUUUUUUUAUAAUCUUUUCGUUUUAAUAAAUAAUAAAAUAGCCGUACUUUGGACUUUCAAAAUUUAGGCAUUUAAAUGUUAAAGUAGGUUCCAAUUAGGAAAUAAAAAGGAAUUAAGAAGGAAAUAAUUAUAUGAAGAUUCUCUCUCGUUAGUUGUUUCCUAUUCUGUAUUUUUUUCCCUAAAAUCGUGUUUACAGCAAUUAACAACUUCUUCUAUUUAUUCCGAACCAUGCAAACUUCAACUUCAUAAUUACUCCGCGAGUUUAUAAACGCUUUCUCCUCCACUUCCACUCUAUCCUCAACACACACCAGACACACACACACGGGGGAAUCAAUGGAGUGUAGAGUGAAACCCCAGACCCUUUCGCUACUAACACGAACUCCGAUUUUCCCUCUCUCUCCGUGCGCCGUCGGAAUCCUCCGCAGUGAAUUCCUCGGCAGCGGCCACAAUCUCAGGCUGCAGCGGCGGAGAUGCAAAAAAUCGCGGCAUAAACACCAGUCUGAUAAUUGCAAGUUUCUCUUCAAAGCCUCGCUCGAAUCGCAGCCGAUUUUUGUAAUCGCCGCCGCAGUUGCCACCGUUUCUGCCAUGACUGUCGUUUAUUUUUCUUAUUCGAGAAAACUAUUUAAUAUCGCACAGGUAAUCACUAUCCUGCUACUCCUGUCAAUUUUUUUUUUGGGUAGAAUUCACAGUGAAAUUACGUUUUAGAGAUGGUAUAGAAACUAUUGAGGUACAUUUGUGUGUUUGAUUAUUUUUGGGAAAGAAGUCCUCGUUUCCAAUCAUCGAAGAAAUUCAGUGACUAAUUAUGUUUAUAUUGUGAAAUAUUGACAUUGUUACAUGAUUGUAUUGAUCUAUUGAUAUAACACAUGAAAAUAUAUGUAGUUUAUUGUAUCUGCUAUUGCAUGUAUGUAGUCUCAGUAAAUAUUGUUUAUUCUCAAAUUUUAGAUGUCAGGAGAGCUAACUCUUGCAUUAUCCGAACAAAUAAGAAGUAUGACGAGCUGGAUUCUAACAUCACAUAUUGUUGAUAAGAAAAAAUCUACUGACGGGAGCAAAAAUUUAACGACAGAAACUAGAGAAAAUAUUCAAGCAGAUAAAAAUUCAAGUGCUGAGAUCAAGAUUGGGGAAACUGCUGUGACUCCUGGAGGAGCACUCAUCGUAGAGGCAACUCGAUUUCAGUCUAAUAACGUUGCUUCAAGUGGUCAUGACAGUCUAACCUUCCAGACAUCUGAAACUUUGGAGAUAUCAUCUGCGCCUUCUUUGUUCUCCAACAUCGGUGCCCAACCAUUUUCCAGGGAAGCUUGUGAAGUGCACCGAAACGCACAUGUACACACCAAUUCAGUUGAUUCUGAGUUGUCCACUUCAGUAAUGCAAGUAAAUUUAGGUGCUGCACUUUCUUCAGCAAAUCACGUACAGGAAGAAUCAGAUAAACUUAGUAGACUAAAGUUUGAAUAUCUCGAAGAGGAUGUUAUAAACAACUUGGACCUCAUUUUCCGAGACUCUGUUCGUAGAGAGCUGUACACAAUUAACGAGGCAUCUUUGGAAAAGUUGGAUAACGUGGAACCAUUGUCAUCUUGUGCUACCCUUUCGAAGAAAAUCAACCAUAUAUCCCACUUGAACAAGUCUUUGGCAAAAGGAUCAAAUCUUACUGCACGCAAUGUGAUAUUACCUACGGACACAGGUUAUGAUAUAGACAUAUCAUUAUUUUUUUUUGGGUAAUUGCAGGAUAUCUGAUAUGUUCUAUUUAUGCUUAUAUCUGAUACCCUUUUUCUCCUCCAAUUUUUACAGAGAAGUUUGAAGAUGAAAAACUUCUUGGAUAUCGCAGUGGAGUCUUUCUUUCCCAGCAGCAGGACUCAAGAAAUAGGAAAGACUCGAGAAAUAGGAAAGAGUUAAAAAAGAAGGACACAAACAUUUCUCAUCAAAAUGAAUCGAAAAACUUAUCCCCAUCUUCUGAUCCCGAGGACAAGCAUAACAAUAACAAGCAAAAUCGUUCAUGGCAAUUACGUGUAUAUGACCAACUUUUGCGGGAAGGCAGGUAGGUCUUCCAAUGUACAAAUGUUCGGUUUCAAAUUAUUGUCUUCAUAUGUUCAAUUUAUCGGUUUCAAAUUUUGUUCUUACCUGACAUAAGUAUCUAUAUAAGACAAAACUGUUUGUUAUAUGCCUCAAAACUGUACAUGACAUUGUUAAUUAAGGCAUCCUGUGACUAUGGUAAAUAGAACUAUUAUGAGAUAUCUCUAGCUGAGACCUGUGACUACUGUUAUAAUGCAUGUCUGUGAAAAAUAUUUUCAUACUUUGGUAUCAAAAUUCUCUAUUGUUAUAAUUGAUUAUAGGCUAAACGACUGCAUAGAAUUGCUUGAAGAUUUGGAACAGAACAGUUUGUUGGAUAUGGAUAAGGUGAGUUUGCAGUUUGUUAAGUUUCUACAAUUAUGAUGCUCAUGAAACGUGUUAUUCAUUUGUUGAAUGUCAUGGCUUCAGGUUUAUCAUGCCAGGUUUUUUGAUGUAUGCAAGUCUCAGAAAGCUGUUAAGGAGGCAUCCCGCUUCAUUAGACUUAUCUCAAAUCCGACCCUGAGUACAUUUAAUAUGUUUAUGUCUGUUUGCGCUAGCUCCCAAGAUUCAGAAGGUGCCCCCCCCCCCUCUCUCUCUCUCUCAAACUGAAGGGUCCUAUAUAUAUACCUCAGUAUAUUAUUGUAGUACUUGAGAUACUUCCCCCUCUUGUCUUGGAUGUAGGUGCAUUUCAAGUUCUAAAACAUGUUCAGGAGGUUGGACUGAAAGCCGACUGCAAACUUUACACUACAUUGAUUUCAACUUGUGCUAAAAGUGGUAAAGUGGAUACGAUGUUCAAGGUAUGGAAAUCCAUUUUGAAAGGAUAUUCUAUCCGGCUUUAGGUGCCCAUUUUAAUUGAUUGAUGAGGUCAUGGCAUGUGUAUUCUCAUUUUUUAAAGUAAAAUGGUUUUUUAUGUUGAUAAAAAUAUUCCUAAUAUCUAUGUGGAGUACACUUUUAUGCCUGGUUGGGCUUUAUCUAGUGUUGACUGAGAUAAUAUUCCUUAGUAAUAUUUAAAGCAAAAGAAAUGAACUGUGUAAAGCAUUAACGUCUCUGAUAAUUCAGUAUUGUGCACUUUGUACUAUUGUCUCCAAAUUCAGGUUCCUCAUCCGAUUUAUAAAAAUUUAGGUUUUCCAUGAAAUGGUAAAUGCUGGAGUUGAACCAAAUCUCCACACAUAUGGUGCACUCAUUGAUGGUUGUGCUAAAGCUGGUCAAGUUGCUAAGGCUUUUGGUGCCUAUGGAAUACUCAGAUCAAAGGUUAUUACACACUUUGGAUUUGAUCUUCUCUCUUCCAUGUCAUAAUCUAGCAAUCCACUUCUUUACUGUAAUUCAAAUAUUAUUGUGUCUAACCUGAAAUUGCUUGUAUAUAGUAGAAUGUGAAGCCAGACCGAGUAGUAUUCAAUGCACUUAUCACUGCAUGCGGUCAAUCAGGUGCAGUGGAUCGUGCAUUUGAUGUAUUAGCUGAAAUGAGGGCAGAGAUACAACCCAUAGAACCUGAUCACAUCACUAUUGGUGCUCUGAUGAAGGCUUGUGCUAGAGCUGAUGAGGUCAGUUUUAUCUAGGUCCUGCCUGAAACCAUUUAUCUACUUAAUUAUUUGAUCCUCGUCUAUCUGAUUAGAAUCCUAUGUGGGAUAUUGAACUGUAUUAGGUUGAUCGGGCGAGAGAGGUCUACAAUAUGAUUCAUGAGUUUGGCAUCCGCGGCACUGCGGAGCUUUACACUAUUGCCGUGAACAGCUGUAGUCACCAUGGGGAUUGGGAGUUUGCUUGCAGUGUCUAUGAUGACAUGAUAAAAAAAGGUGUCGCUCCUGAUGAGGUACCUCGGUCUGAAUUCUAUGUUAGUUUUUGCUUGUGAGAAGCUCCUUUUAACUAGUGAUUAUUGCAUUUAGAUCAAUUGUUUCAGAAUCAUGCUAAAAUAUCUAGGUACCUCUCAUAAUUCUCUGCUUUCCCUUAUACAUUUUCUUCAUAUUGCAUUAUCAGCUCAACGUGGUAAGUUAAUACAAUGCUGCGUCUCACUUUUUUCAUUUAUACAGAUGUUUAUAAGCGCAUUGAUAGAUGUCGCGGGGCAUGCUGGAAAAGUGGAUGCUGCAUUUGAAAUCCUACAAGAAGCUAGGGCUAAAGGAAUGCGCAUUGGAAUCAUAUCGUACAGCUCCUUGAUGGGAGCCUGUAGCAAUGUAAGGGCAACUCAUCGUGCCUAGAAAUUCAGUUACAAAGUUCUUUUGGAAUACUAUUGUGUUUAAUCAAAUAUUUUUACAUAAUCACCCAUAUAUGAUAAGUUGGACAAAUUGGGUGGGUACAAACUUGAGGUUUCUAAUGAAUGUAUUUCUGCACUUGGUCACAACAAAUCAGUUCACAGUAGUUCUAUUCUUGAAAUACUCCUUAGUCUGGUCAGUAAAUAAACAUUGAUUACUAUAUCUUAUUGUUUUUCCCUAUUUUCUCUGGAAAGGUGAACAUCAUUGUUUUAGUAUAGACAUUAGACAAUAGCCAAUACUAGCUAAAUAUCUUGGAUUACAAGAGAAUAUGAUUCAAUGCAUCGCCAUGGCUUUUUUAUAUUAAAAAAUGAUAGUUAACCUAUUGAUAUUUAAAUCACUGCUUUACCUUGUUUUGACAAGUUAACACAAGUUCUCUGCUCCAUUCUAGCAACUCCAACGUAGAUGGUAUAUUGAGUUUCUCAGUGAUGUAACUAUCUGCCAAACAUUUUCAGGCUAGCGAUUGGAAGAAGGCACUGGAGCUGUAUGAGGUCACUAAGAGAAUGAAGCUGAAGCCGACAGUCUCAAUGAUGAAUGCCUUGAUAACUGCUUUGUGUAAGUUAUUCAACACAACCCUUAACACAUCACCCUCACGUGCAAAGCAAGUUCAGCUUCACUGAAUUUUCUGAAGUUAUACUGAUAGUACUCAACGUUGUAAUAUCUAACACAAUGUAAUUUUUAUUCGGGGUAAAAAGGUCAUGAAGAUAACAUAGACUUCUCAUGUGGUUCAUAGAUAAACUAGUUAGAUAAAGAUUAGUGUAGGAAGAGAAUGACUGUGCCAAAAGUUUGAUUUAGCGUUGCCCUGCAGGUGAUGCGGAUCAACUGCAAAAGGCCAUGGAAAGUUUAUCUGAAAUGAAGAGCGUCGGUUUAUGCCCAAAUACCAUAACUUACUCCAUUCUUUUAGUGGCUUGUGAAAAGUAUUUUACCUUUCUUUAUACAAUACUAGUAUGAUUUUUAACUUUGCUUUUCCACAUAGAAUGGUUGACAUUCUAUUAAAAUACUUUUUUCAUCUCUUACCAGAAAGGAUGAUCUAGAAGCUGGCCUCAUGCUUAUUUCUCAAGCAAAAAAGGACAAAGUCACUCCUAACCUUGUAAUGUGCCGGUGCCUCAUAGGUGAGAUUUAGGUAUUCCAUUAUCUUUAUUUUCUGAGAAUUUUAUCAUGCAUAAGGAAAUUGGAUAUGUUAGUCGUAUGAUUAGCACUGCUAGGCUAUUGUGAUGCAUCUCUAUUCUUUUUAUGCUUAACGAACUCUUGAGAACAUUAAUGAUAGUUGCCAUGUUUCAGUUAUAGUAUCGAAUUGUAGUUUUACAUCUCCCUGAAUGGUUGAUUGUCUCAAUUAACUUAAUCAUGGUGUUGUAUUUUUGCUGUCAUCUCUGAUCUCCUGCUGCUGUUAGUCAAAAACAGAUAAAGGGCAAAAGAUUGUUUAUGUUAGGUACAGUAACACAAAUAGAAUAAUCUCUCUGUUACAGUGCUCAUGCAAGAUAUUCUCAUAAUUGCAUUAUUUGGUUAUUGAAUCACUCUCUUAAGAGUCAUGUCGUCUUUGUGUUGCAUUACUGUGACGAAUUACCAUAACAUAUUGCUUUAUUCUAGGUAUAACCCGUGCCUAUUAAUAAGAAUAAGUACGAAAAGUAUUAUGCGUGUAAUGAAUCUGGAUUUCUGUUGGUAUAUUGUGUUAGUUUUUGUUUUUUUUGACUUCAUCAAGUUACUUAUCAAGUUUGUCAAAUCAAGGUAUGUGCUUACGGAGAUUCCAAGCAGCUUGUACAGUGGGCGAGCCUGUACUAUCUUUCAGCUCGGGUCAAGUUCAGCUUAACAGUAAAUGGUACACAUUCUUACCAUUUUGUAAUAAUUCCUUUUGUUACUUAUUAUUUCUAGAUGAAAUACAUCUAUCUCUUAAGGUCAUUAUUCUCGUUCUUCUGUGUACAAUAGUGCUCUUACUCUGAAGUGAAACCUUCAGCUGUUUGCAUACAUUUAAAUGGUUGAAAAAACUGUGACAUCUUAAAGAUUCUGCAAAACCUAUUUCUUCUAUUUGAACGAGUUUUGUUUCUCUAAAAGUAUUCAUUUUCAUGUGUGAUGUUUGUUUUUCUCGUUGAUUUUCUGUCUCUAGUAUAUGCUAUUUCUCAUUUUCUCUAAGGAUAAUUUGAAAUAGAAAAUUAACCUCAUUCUCAAACUAAUAUUGAUCAACCUUUUAAAGGAGAAAACUGUAAAAAAGGAAUAUAUGGCUUAUGAGAUAGCUAUAUCUCCACAGGACAUCCUUGGCGUUGAUGGUUUACAGGGAAACAAUCAUGGCCGGUGUGACACCUACUAUGGAUGAACUUUCGCAAGUUCUGGGAUGCCUAAAGCUCCCUCAUGACGCAUCUAUAAAAAAUAGGCUCAUUGAGAAUCUUGGAGUGAACACUAUUGCAUCAAAAGGUGCAAGCCUUUAUUCCUUGAUUGAUGGAUUUGGGGAAUAUGAUCCCCGCGCUUUUUCUUUAGUUGAGGUCCGUAAACAAAUUCCACAAAUUCUUUUAUCCUAUUUAACUUUUUAUUGUUUAUAACUUGCAUCUCAUGAAAAUUAUAUGAGGAAGCUUAAAAAUAUUCUUUGUAUCUUUAGGAGGCUGCUUCUCUUGGAACUAUACCAGUUGUUUCUUUGAAAGAAAGCCCGAUUGUUGUUGAUGUGAGAGAUUUUCAAUUCCAUACAGCUGAGGUGAGAUCAUUUUAAAUAACAAGCAUGUUUUGUUUCAACUAUCGUAGAGGCAUUAUUCUUUACUUGUCUACUUUAAAUUCCACCCUUUCUUAAUUGACGCGCUAUCAUUUUAUUACAUACUGGUAAAUGUAAAUCCUUUCUGAUGGCUUCAUUCCAAGUGAAUCUUGGUCACCUCUUCCUUUAUGGUUCACAUUAACAAACAAAUUAUUAGUUGUAUAUGGAGCGGAAUGAGAAUUUUUUCAUUUUUGUUAUAAGAGAAUUGCGUCGUAUAUACGCAUCAUCGUCUGUUAUAGGUAUUUGUGACUCAGCCAGGUUGUUGGUUGAAACUUGUAAAUAUACCACACAGUAUUACUUCCUCCGUAUUUCGGCCCUCACCCAUACCUGCAUACACACUUUAAGCUAGUAUUAACCGAGUGCCAUUUUAUGCUGUCAUUUAUACGUGUAACUAAAUUGAGCUGCAAAUAUUGGUCAGGUGUACCUAUUGACGGUUCUGAAAGGUCUCAAGCAUCGCUUGGCUGCUGGUACAAGCUUAAACUUCUUUUGAUUACUUAGUGUCUCUGAAUGAACUUUUCGUUUUUAGUGGCUGCUAGUAAUAGCUCGUAAAAAUAUUGGGCAUGCACUGCAAAUGGUUAUCAAAUCGGCAAAACUUGAACUAUAUGAAAACCAAGAUGACAUUCUGGAAGACUAGAGAAACUGUUUGAAAAUGGGACUAGAAUUAUCUGAUUGCAGUGUUUUGGUUCAAAAUGGGUAAAAACAAGAAAAUUUGUUCUUAGGCACAUAUGGAUGUAUAGUAUGAAUUCAUUAGGUGCAUAUAUUGAAUUUUCUUGUUGCUCUCUCUAUCCCUCUAUUUAACAUAUUCUUACUGAACUUGGACAGGUGUAAAGUUGCCUAAUGUACUUGUUCUGCUGCCCGUCGAACCGACACAGAUUCAGACUUCUGCAGGGGAGAAAAUGAUUAAUUUUGCGGACAGGUGAGAGCAUCUUCUUUUAUCUGAUUGGGCCAAUUAUACGAGAUUGUACAGUUUUACUUAAAUUGGGGAGGGAUGUGUAGUGGUUCUGGCAGCGAAUGACACUUGAACCCUUGGUUUCUAUGUGCGGAUUCACAGAGCCUUCAUGAGUGGAUUUUCUGAAUAUGAACUUUGUGUUGAACCAAGGAAAUCUUUACGUGGCAUCUUAGAUAGGCUACAAACGUGACAAUUUAUGCAAAUUUACUCUAUUCAAGAACAUAAGCAAUUGGAGUGAAUUGUAGUUCCAGAAAGCAACGGAAUAUAUGGUGAACAAGGUUGAACUAUUUCAAGGUCGUAAAAUAAUAUAGAUUCAAAAUGAGUAUUGAACUUCUAGUAAGAAUUUGAGGUUACUGACAUGUAAAUCCAUUCAUGGUACUAAUUUGCGGGUGACAUACUCAUUUUAGCAACGGAUAAAUUGUUAUGCAUUAGUUUAGAAUUUAAUGUCAAAAAAGAAUUAUCCUCGGAAGUUUUUUGUUGCACUUGGAAAGAUGUUAUACAUAUUUUCAUUUGACUUUUAGCACUUCAAUUGUUGAUUAUUCAAUACGAGUGACUUGUUUUCUCUAUCUUUAAUAAGGUUGAAAAGAAAAGCUGAAAAUAUUCGUAUUUGCUCAACAGGAGAAGCCAAGCAUUGGCAGCUCUACUGAGGAGACUCGGACUAUCUUAUCAAGGAAAUGAAUCAUUCGGAAAGAUGAAACUAAAUGGUCUUACCAUAAGAAUGUGGUUACAGCCGGAGCUUGGUACUCCUUUCGGUGGAAAGAAAAUAGAUCGGGGCCCACCCCUUAGACGUCUAGGCUCAGACCUAAGCCGUCAACGGCAAAAAAUCAGAACUGGCCAUUUGUCGUUUUAAUGAGGUUGAGAUAUAUUGGUGUAUUGCAAGGAAUACAUUUACUUAAUAAUUUAUAAUUUACAAUAACUUUGUAUGCCUAACACUACAUGAUCCUGCCAUAAGUUGAUAUUAACGGCUUAUUGUCUUCUAUGCAGAAAUAUGGCGAAAUUUUCUUUAGUAUUUUCAAGGAAGAAGCGCGGAAAUAUGUUGCGGGGAGUAUUUUGUACAUGAGCUGGAAACCCUUGAGAGGGUUUGAGCUAUUCAGAGUUGAAGCACACAGUUCUUAAGGAUUUUUAUUUAUUUUUAAUUUUAUUUUUUUGGAGUUCUAUGAGUUCAAAUUGGAAGGGUAUAUAUUGUCAGUGAAAAUAAGGAUGGCAUCUCUGCGAGUACGGUUGGUCGUGUUGUAAUGUAUGCAGUAUUGAACAAAUACAGUGCCAUUUUGACUGUGCGAUUCUUUUCUAUAAUGAAUGUGGCAGUCAAUAAUUAUGGGAACUCUCCAGAAGACUUGCUGGUUUCUGGAUAGUUGUAUCCAUUUUUGUAUAUUGACCAGCAUCUGGUGUAGGUUUUUGAAUUUUGAGAGUUGAUAUAAGGGAUUUGGUAUCGAACUUUGUAUAACUAGCAAAAUAAUCUAGUUUAUAUAUUUAUCUAAUUUUACAUACUUUUUUGCAUGGGUCUACACCUCAGAAAACUAAUAAUCAAAACUGUUGGAGUGCUGAUUAAUUUUCUUGGAUCAUGACAGCUGCAUUCUUGAAGUGAGUUCGAGAAAGGUAUUUUCACUGCACGGAAUUGUUAGACCUCCCAUUGGAUGACUGAAGCCAAAUUCUUCCUCUGCUCGUCUCAACAAAUCUUGAAACGAAGGGUGAUUCAGGUACGAUAAGGGAACCACAUACCUUUUCCUCUGAACUCUCUCUCCUACGUAAACUGCCAGGUGGCCCUUAGGCACAUCUGAUUGAUUUUUGUUGAGAAAGGAUUGUAGCUUGUAGAAUUGCUUGGCAUUCGAAAUCAACGAUGGUAAGCGAAUAAUAGCCAUAUCUUGUUUUGAGGGUUUGAUUUGUUUACUCUGGAUUUAGCUCUAGUUGUUGUUGCACUGUGAAUUCUUGAAGAUUGAGGAUGCCUAUUUAUAUACAAAUAUUUACUUAUUAAUUUAUGCAUAAUAUUUAUAUAUAUUAUAAUUGCUAGAGCUGGAAUUUGGGGGCUCUGAUACUUUUUAAGAGGGGGUCUACAUUACCAAGGAGGUGCACAUGGCUUCUGUCACGAAAUUCCCAAAAAAAGAAAAAAGAAAAAAAUAAAGUUUCUUAUCCAUAGAUCAUCUUCACAUGGUUUAGGAAUCCCACUUGCACCUUUCAAGUUUAUAUCAUGAAUCUAAAUAUGCUUUUAUUACAGGUUCCGGAUAAAAAGGGGCAACAUAUAACCCGGAGUUGCUUAACCGUUUACAUGGUAUGUUCUAAAUAUUUGUGUAAUGAUUUGAAUUUAAUUAUAUAAAUCUUUUUGAUGGGUCCAAGUAUUUUUAAUCCACCUACCAGCAUAAUAUGCCCCCACCUUUUGUUGCAACUGUUAUAGAGGAUAGAUUUCCUUCAUUUUGAAAAGCAGUUAUAUGACUCAUUGGCCUUGCCCACCGUAUUUCAUUUCUGGUAUGUCUUAUUCUUAAUAAAAUAUUUUAAUCGUAAGUUUUGAUAAUAAAUUGAUUUACUAUCUAUUAUUUGUGGACAAUUUAGGGUCCAUAUAGUAAUUGUAGGGCCGGAGUUGGCUCUUACCCUCCUUACAAGAAUGGUACAUCUGCAUGCAUUAUUCAGGUCAGGGUUCGUUUAACUUAAUAUUACUAUCCCGAACUUGUGAGGAUUUAAUUUCGUUUUAGUGCGUCACCAUUGCCCAUGGUUUUAAUUUGUCUUGAUCAUGUCACGACUUGAUUAUAUAUAAAAAAAUCAGUAAAUUAACAGACGGGCUUUUAACAUGAUAUAAUCGUAAGUUUAAGCUAGCAAUGACAGAAUUUUAGUUUCAUUUUUAAGAAGUGGUGGAUUAUAUGAAUCUGUGAGCUGACAAGUUGGAUGAAAAUAUAAUUCUUUUCGUAAUAUCUACAUACCGCAUGUGGCAUAUUUAUUAGCUAAUGUAUAUAUGGAUAUAACAAUUGGUUUAAGACUUGAGAGCGGAGUCGUAUAUUUAUCGUAAACAUACGCGAUUUGUAUGGGCUGUUCUCAUAAUAGAAAACUAAAUAAAUAUUAGUAUAAUGUGGAUGGAUGGGUUUGGUUUAAAUUUAAGAAGAUGAGGCAGCUGCACGAUAUGAUAUCACCCUUGUCUCUUAAUCCUCCUUUUUUUUUUGUUUAUUUAAAGUGAGUUUUUGGUGUCGAUCACGCAUAAUAUGUAUAUAUAAUAUAUAUCUUUCUGGCAACUGCAUUUCGAUUUUAAUAUCACUAACUUUGCAGCUAGAAAAAAUAAGUCAGAAAUAAACACGGUCGUAAUAAAAUUUGAAGUUUAAAAAUAGCCUUGAAGUUAUUCUAUGAAUUAACUACCUAUUUCACUAGAAGUGUGUGUUUGAUCCUCUUCCCUUUUUUUUUCUUUUUUUUUUCUUUUUUUUUUUUUGGGUAAAUUACAAUCACCCCCAUAUAUGGUCAAAUUACGAAAACCCCCCUCCCGUUUUGGUAAUUACAACCACCCCUCAACUAUAAAUCUUUUUACACGUCCACCCUUGCGAUUUCAAUUUAGUGGAAUCUUCUAGAUUAUACAGAAUACUCUCAAUUUUGGACCCGUUUUAUCCCAUUCGAGCUCCACAUUUUGAAGCUAGAUGAUCAUAAGGACGUGUUUUUUGGCCUGUUGUAUAUCAGAUUCUGGUGCAUCAGAAACUGUAUUUUUGCACAAAACGAGUACAAACUAGAGAACGUUCCACGGAAUCUAGAUGAUUAUGUUGAAUUUGACACUUAAGAAUGGAGAUGUCAGAAGUUUAUAGUUGAUGGGUAUAAGUAAUUUUUCAAAUAUUGAAGGGUUUUUUCAUAAUUCGACCAUACCUCAGGGGUGGUUGUAAUUUACCCUUUUUUUCGUUUUUUUACCUUUUGUGCUUCAAGCAUAUUCUUUGAUCCUUGCGUUAUUGUGUUCUUGAGUUCUUGAGUUGAGGCAAUCAUCUUCCCCAAUUGUCAAUCAAAAAAAUCAAAUAAACGCCCACUGUUUUCCUCAUCUGUCAUACACAAAUUGAUGAUAUAAUAAAAAAAUAAAUGAAAAAAAUCUGUUAUAC
rnacentral:lncRNA from 1 species